rnacentral:lncRNA from 1 species
UUUCAGAAAGAGAAAAUGCUCCUGUUUUAUCAAUUGAUGUCAUAUCCACUUUUUUAGGUUUUCCAAAUCCAAAAUCAAUACCAUAAACUUCAAACCUUGGUGAUCCAGCAAUAGAAUAAAUUUUAGUACUUUCACUUCCUUCUAAUAUAUAAGAAAGCCAAUUUUUUGCUCCAUUCAAAACUUCACCAUCUUUAACUCUCUUCAAACUUUCAUUAAUCCCUUCCAAAGCAACAAAAAAUCCAUUUUUUCCAACUAAGUCUUUUGUCUCCAAAACAAUCUUUUGUCCUGCAAUACAAUUUCCAAAAUACAUAGGAGAAAUUGGAGGGUCCAAUCUUGUUCUACAAUCAACACUAAAUAUGAAAAUCACUUUAUCAACCUUAGGUUGUUCUGCUUUUGCUAAACAUGACAACAUAUAAGCACAUGUAACUGAAAAAGUAGACAAAUGAACCUUAUUUUUCAUCUCAUUUUGUGCAUGUUCCUUAAGCUUUUGAAUAUUUGAAGGUGUUAAUUGAAACAACCUUUUAACUUUAUCAUUUUUCACUUUACUAGAAAAAUCCCACACCUUUAAACUUCUAUUAUUUGGUCCACCAUGCUUCAUCCAUGCAUCCACAAAUGCUUCACUGAUUCCAUUAGAAUCUUGUAUCACUGAUCUAUCCCAAAAAGGUGUUAGUUCUUUAGGUAAUGAUAAAGAUGAUAAUGUUGAUUGUGAGUUUUGCUGAGAGAUAAGUAAAGUCUGACCAAAGUUAAAACAUGUAUUUUUUUCGGUCUUAAGUGUCUGAUUUUCAGGAGAAAUGAGUCCUACUAAUUCAGAAUUCGGUUGAGACGAAAGUAAAGUCUGGAUAAGGUUAGAACAUGUAUAGGCCCAUGAUUUCAUAAAAAUGGUUGAAGAAUUUCCAUCAAAAGUAGCAUGAUGAGUGGUAAUUCCAAUGCAAAAACCAAAGUUUGGAAACAAAGUGACUUGAAUUGAAACCAAAGAAGCUUUUUCAUGAGAAGUUUUCAAAAGGGGUAUCAAGUGAUAUCUUUGUGAAGCAUCACAAUGAUUGGAAGAAAGAUCUUUGAAACUUGCUUUGGAUUCAACAACAGUGAAGGAAACAGAAUCACCAAGAACAUAGUUGAUGAUUGGUUUUGAAGAAUCAUUAGGCCAAAUAAUGUUACCAGCAAGAGGUAGAAAAUGUUGAAGUGUGAGUGAAAGUGAGUGUUUGAGAUUUGGAAGAAUGGAAUCAUAGAAAGAAAUGGUUGAGUUUUUUGUGAAUUCAUAGAAGAAGAGUCUUUCAACAGGUGGAAAUCUUAACCAUAAAAGAUCAAAGAAAGUUAGUGGAAGUGAGGUUGGAGAUUGAAAAGAUUCUGUUGUUUCAUGAAUUGGUUCAAUGUUACAAACUUCAACAAUUUUUGAUGAUUCUUCUUGUGCCAUGGCCUAUCUAGCUUGUCAAGGAGAAAGAAAGAUAAGUGUGUAGCCAUUGGCCAAAACAUACUAUAUAGGCAAAAUUAAAAUCAAAUACUUUAUUUUUAUUGGUAAAAUUUCAUUUUAAUCUUAUAAGGAUAUUACAAUGUCAUUUUGAUCUUUGAUACACAAAAAAAAUUUAACUAUUAAAUUAUUAAAAUAUCAAUUGGUUUAGUUGUUGACAUUAUAACUAUCAUGAAUUAUUAAAUUAUAAUUUAAGUUUUUUCUAAAUUAUAUAAUAAAAUAAUAACAUCCUAUUUUAUUUAGUUUUAAUACUUUUAUAUUUUUAUUUAAUUAGUUAUUUGUCUUUUAAAAUAUGUACAAUAUAAAUACAAAGUAAAUCAUUUUAUUAAAAAGAUAUCAAAGAUAACAAACUAUGUAAAAUCAUUGUUAGUAAAUUUUAUUUUUUAAUUAAAAAAAAAAAUCUUCAUCACUUUUCUUCAACCCUAUCUUUAUCAUCUUCUACAUGUUUUGAUACCAGAUGUGGUCCAAUUGUAUAAUGUGUAUUUAUUGUCACCAUUAUGAUUGAAAGUAAAUGAAAUUUAAAGAUAUGACAUAUACAGGUGCCGACAUAGGAAUGACAUUAUGAUUUCUUGAAAAUGCUAGACAAUGUUGUAGAUUCAACUUGUACAAGUGACAGAUGUAAUUUAUUACAUGUCAGCUAAUAUAUGAGUAUUAAUUGCAAGUACUAUCAGUUAUAAUUUAUGAAUUUUGUAUUUGUCUCCACCAAUGCAUGACACACAAUACUCCCGUUAUUCAAGAACCCUAUGAAGCCACAUAUUUUUAAUCCUCUUAUCUAUAUAUAUAAUUCAAUUAUCAACAUACUAUUAUCAUCUUAUUUCAAUCUAAUUUUCUAACAUAUUGUAAAAAUUAAAAUUUUAACUUUCUAUUAUUCUCUCUUUUACUUAUCUAUAUUUUAUCAUAUUGUUUUAUCUCUCUUACUUUAUAUUUUUAUCACUUUUUAUUCUUUUUACUUUUCUCAUCUCUCUUAGUUUUUUAUGUUUAAUAAUUUUUUUAUUUUUUUCCUAAUUAUAUUAUCUUUCUUGAAUUUUCAUAAUUUUAUUACUUUCUUUUCUUUUUAGUUUCACAUUUAAAAUUAAAAAUAACUACAUUCAAUCUUUCACCAUCUUUUUCUCCACCAUUUCCCCCUCUUUUUAUAUUUUCCAAAUCUUAUGAUGUUUUUUUAAUUACUUUUUAUUUACUAUUUAUUUAUAUAAAAACAAUUACUAUAGAAAAAGUAUGUAUAGCAUUUCUUCACAUUCCUAUAUGUUUAAAUUGUAGGUUAAGAUUGUCAAUUUGUAAAUAAACUAUAUCAAAUUAUUAAUCCUAACAUUCUCUCUCAAAGUUACAUCAUUUUUUUUCUUUCUCUUCAAUCAUUUUUUUUUCUUAUAUGUUUUUUUGGUAGAAUGUCUUUUUCUAUUAUUUUAAUGAUAACAUAUAUUGUGGUACAUGAUUAACAUGGACUGGAAUAACUUGACUUAAAUAUAUAAUAUAUUUAAUUAUUUAACUUAAUUUAAUUAAUUAAAAUUUUAAAAAUUAUUCAAUAAGUUUAUUUGACGCCUUGGUUCAAUAUUAGGGAGAAAUAAAAAAUCAAAACCAAUUAAAAACAUGUGGUUUGGUUUAAUUUGGAUUCUGCAAUAACAGAUCUGUUUUAUUUAGUUCAAUGUAAUUGUCAUUGUUAAAAAAAUUAAAAACUUUUUUAUAAAAAAAAAAAAGUUAUUUUCACACAUUAUGUUUAACAAAUUUUGAUCAAUAAAGAUUUAACGAAUGAGAUUGCAGUAUUUUCUCAUGAAAUCUGAACUAAAUCAAACUUUUAGAAAAUAUUUUUCUAUAAAUUAUAUAUGGGACAAAAAUGAAUUCCAAUGGUCAAAUAAUUUUAAAAAAAAUAAUCUUUUAUGGAUUGAUUAAUUAAAAAAGAACCGUGUAAUUCACAGAUCAAUUAAUUACAAGAGCAAUUGUGUCUUUUACCACUAAUAUGUUAGUUAAAAGAAAGUUUUUCAUGAAUCAAUUAUAUUUUACUAGUUAAUUCUAUGGUGCACAAAGAUAAGUUUUGCAUCACACACAAAUUUAUUUCUACAAUUAGAUUAAUAAGUCCCACAAUUAGAUCAAAUGAGAUUUGAUGGGACUUAUAAAUCUUAAUGGUAUAAAAUAAACUUGUGCAAGACUAUCUUGUGUUAAUUAGAAAAAGUCUGAUUUCCUAUAUAAACAAAACACGAGAUAAAAUAUUUUUUGUUGGUCAAUUAGUUAAAAUAUAAUUAUUAAUUAUUUUGUUAAAAGUUUUAUUAUUAGUUUGUCUAUUGAAUGAAUUCUAAUUAAAAUUUUGAAAAAUAUUAUAAUACACUAAUUAUAAUAUUAUAUAGAAAUUAUAUAUGAGAUAAAUAUAUAGUCAUAGAUAAACUAUAUGAUUUGUCCAAUAAUAUUAUGGGAGAAACCAUACAUGAGACAAAUGUUUCUAAAUAAUCAAUUUGUUAAAAUAUAAUUAGUCACAAUUUAAUUAGUUAAAAGAUAAAUAUGUAUUUGAUUACUUGUGUGUUUUUUGAAUAUUUAUAUACUAUAUAAGAGAGAAGUGUAGAAAAAUAAUAUUUAAUAAAUAAAUUAUAAAUAAGUUAUAUAAUUUAUUGGCUAAUAAAUUUAUAUCAAAUAAAUAUUAUCCCUAAUUUUUUUAAAUGAAGUAUAUAAUUUUUCUAUCAACUAACUUUUUUAUAGAAGUUUUGGAAUUAUCUCUAGAUUUUAUAAACAUCUAUUUUGAUCAACUAUAAAAAAUUUGGACUUUUGUUGAUGGUGACAUUAAAUAUACCAUACUAAAACUUAAUAGAUGAAGAGGGCAAUUUUAUUGAAAGAUGUGUGACUUCAAAAUUUUAAUAUUUAUUUUAAUCUAAACCUUCAAUUAUUAUAUUUAUUUCACUAUUAAAAUUAUUUUUAAAAGUUAAUAUUUAUUUUUUAAAAUUAGAUUUUUAAAUAUACACGCAAUGACCCAGACAUGUACAAAUGCAUAAAUAUUUUAUUAAUUCUUGUGAAGAUAAACCUUUAUAAUUCACAGGAUAAAAAAAUAAGUAAAAUUUAGUUAAGAAUUAUUCAAUUAAAAUUAAAAUCAAAAUUAAUAUAAAUACGAUUUAUUUGUAAUUAAAAAUCAUUAACAACUUCAGUUCGAUUAAUUAACUUAUACGAUGCUCGUCUAAAUGCGGAGAGAAUUAAUUGCAAGUCCAACAGUUUUUAUUAGGCGUUCUAGACCACAAUUUCAUACCUUCCAUUCUAUCUCAUCAACAGUGUUAUGCCAUUCAAAUUGAAAUAAUAAAAAUAAAUGUAACUCAUACUUUUUUAGAAUGAAAUAUAAAUGAUAUUUUUAAUAUGUGUAAUUUAAUUAUUUUGUUUAUAAUUUAUUCCAGAUUUAUCAGUAAUAAACUUCAGGGCUAGUAUGUAUGAUUUAUUUUGUUCAAAAUAUCAUGUUUGAUGAAUUUCUGUGUGCAUUUGAAAAAAUAUAUGGUUGUUUAUAUCGAGCUACACCACUGGUAUAAAUUGGAAAUGAAAUAAAUUCAAUAAAUUCUGCUUGAAUUGAUUUGUGAGAUAAUUCAAUCGAUAAUCGACACUUUUCUAAAUUUUCUCAUAUGGCUGUCAACUAUUGACAACCAAUUUACUCUCAAGUUAGCCUAUAAUAACCUCACAAACCAUGAGACUAAUUUUGACUCGAUAAUAUUGUUCAAGAAGGUUUGGAGUUGACAGGUCCCAAUCAGAGUUAGGACGACACUUUAAAAGAUGGUACAUGAAAAACUUUUGACAAAUACUAAAAGAUGUCACAGAAGCAUGGCCUUCGAAGAUCUCUCUCAGCGUUGUCUCUCUGCACCUAAGACCCUUAUGCACGUUGUGAGAGAUUGUGAAGAUGUUCAACUACUUUAAAAUAGAGUUAUUAAGUCUGAAUUUUGGAGUAAUUUCUUUAGCCUUGAUAUUUAUACUUGACUUGAAAGGAAUCUUACUCACAACGAAAUUGAAAACAUCCAUUAGACAAAUGUUCUUUAAUGUGACAGUUAAUGAACUAUGGAAAAAUUGAAACUCUUUUGAUUCUCAAAGUACAAAGAUGGAGAGUGAUUUGUGGGAUUAAAUUUCUAACCACCUUAACUUUAAUCAUAACUCUUUGAUCAAAAGUAAGGUUCUUAAGCAGAACUUGAUAACCCUAACCAAAAAGUAUGGAUUAAAUCCCCGUAGGGUAAUGAAGAUGAAUGUUGACGGUGCUUACACCUAUAUUGAUAGCUCCUCAACUUGUGGAGAAUCCUUCACGACCAUAAUGGUCAGUUCAUAUGUGGUUUCUAUUGGGAAAUGUCAGCCAGUAGCUCCUUAAUUUUUGAAUUAUAAACUUUUUGCAAUGGUGUUUUAUUGACUCGUGAUCAAGGUAUUCAUAAAGUUAUUUUAGAAGGUGACUUCAUGACUCUCCUCUCCAUGAUCAAAAAAAUAUGUGCUUAGUUUACUCCCUACCUUAUCCUCUACAAAGAGAUUAUCUCUAUAUUGCAUCAAACGAACUGAACUUACCCACUUUAUUAUUCUUUCAACAGAAACAAAUAAAUGUGCUCAUUAUUUAGCUCAACUUGAUCACAAUAGUUUUUUUGUUUUGUUCAAACGGUACACAUUUGUCUUUGUUAGAUUUGUUUUUGAUGUAUGAGACUGAAAGUUUUCAUUCUCAUAUUUUAUUUUAGUUAAUAUAACUCUUUUUAAUAAAUAAAAAAGAAGAAAUAUAUAUAUAUAUAAGAUAUUUUGUAGGUGGAGAAAAUUCUUAAUUAUGUAUUUUUAUUUAUCGUUCUAUAUAAAAAUUUAAAUGUAACUAAAAAAUAUAUCACAUCCUUAAAAUAAAGAACAAAUUCUAUCAAAUCUUAAAAAUAUUCUAACAAUAAUUUUAAAUAUAAAUUAUAUCAUAAUAAUAUUUUAUUUUAAAUCCUAAAUAUAUUUAAAUUUAAAUAUAAAAUUAUAAUCUCUAAAAUAUAUUUAAGCAUUUUAUUCUUAUCAAUAAAUUUUUGAACAAAACAAAUUCUACAAUUGAUUUGAAGUUUUUUGACAUUAAAUUUAUCUCCUUUUAGUCAACUUCUUUUUACUUUGUGAGUUCUAUAAUUAAAACAUCGGAGUUUUCAUGGUUGCUAGAUAGUUUUUCACCCACGUCCUUAAAAUACUCCACUCGUUUUCAUAUAUUAACAACAACAAAAAAUUCAUCCUUUAAAAAAGUAGUUAGCUUUGUUUAAUUUUCUCAAAAUAAUAAAAGAAAAUUGUAUUAUUUAAGGUUUUGUUUGUUGAGGAAUUGUAUCCUUUAAUCGUUCAUGAAAAUUUGUUCCAUGACAAUUAAAUAAACUAUUGGAAAAAAAAAGUCUACUAGUGCAUGAAUUAAAAGGGAAUUAUAGCAUUAAAUAUAAUUAAAUUAAACAAAUUUUACUUAUAUUUGAUACUAACAAAAAUAUAAAUUAAAACUUUUUACGAAAUAAUUUAAAAGCUUUGUCAAUGUAAUAAAUACAACACUUUUUUCAAUGAAAGAUGCAUUACUUUUACAUUAAAAGUUGCCACCCAUAAGUUCUUAAAUAAUACGCUAAAUAUAUUCAUUAGCGUUCUUCAUAAUAGAUUAUUAUUAUUAUUUUGAGUGAAUUCUUCAUAUUAUAUUUUUAUAAAUUCUACUCGCUGUGAAAUGAUAAAAAAACAAAAAUAUUAUGGAUAUCAAGUGUAAAAUUCAGAUUUUUGUAUCUUAAAUUACAUUUAUAUUUUUCUCUUAGUAAUUAAUUAUGUGAUUGUUAUUAUUAUUAUUUUUAAUUAUCACUUCUUUGAAUUGUAUGUGGGUAAGAUGAUUUAAUUACUUUCACUAAAUAUUUUGUUAAAUUGUGUUAAAAUUAUUUCAACAAAAUAAAUAAAUAGAAAGGAAUUAGAUGAGUCAAAUGUUCGUGUCCCAUUUGUUAGUAAUACAAGGAUAUAAAUCCUUAAUUAGUUAAGAAAUACAAAUACAUGAAGUUAGAAUAAUAAAUAAAUAAGUAAGGAAGAAGAAAAGUGUGCCGCGUACUAUUUUGCUUGACCGAUAUGGAGGAAAUGAGAAACGAAGCAGAAACGCAGAAUAAGAAAUUUGGUUUCGGCAGUGAAUGGUUGUGUAUGUUGCUUUUUUUUUUUUCUUAAAUUGAUUUUUUGUUUAUAUUUUAAUAUUUCAGUAUUAAAAUAAUUGACCUAUUUAUAAAAACAAUCUCCAAAUAAAUCUAUAAUUUUUUUUAUUUUCAAUAUAUUUUUUCGAAAAUAUAUUUUAAUUUAAUUAUAUAAUUUCUAAUACAAUAAAUAUUAUUUAAUACGAGAUGUAUUGAUUAUAAGUAUACACAUUUUAUUAAUCACUUACAACAUUUCAUUAUCCACUAAAAAUAUAAAUAAUUAAUUACAUAUUUAAUAUAAUUAUAAAAUGAUUCAAGUAUAUAACUAUCAUGUUAUAUUAAUUAUUUUAAAGUAUUUUAUUAACUAAUAAAAUAUUCUUCGUUAAAUAUAUAUAUAUAUAUAUAUAUAUAUAUAUAUAUAUAUAUAUAUAUAUAUAUAUAUAAUCUUAUAUUUGUAUAUAUGUUAUUUUGGGAUGAUAAUCCUUACUAUUGAUUUAUUUGAGCUAUACACCACCCCUUAAUUGAUGAAAAUGCAAGAAAGUAUAAUAACAUUCAGUUGGAGAUUUCGAGCUUUGUUGUGAUAAUUUCUACGAGUUUCCAAAGUCAACACCAGCUAAAAUUUAUUUUUAGUAGUAAAAAGUCAAGAAUUUUGUUUUAGGAAUUUACUUUGGUUUAUGCAUUGGGCUUACUCUUUAUAACAACUAUGACUCUUAUUUACUAUUUUAUAAAAUCUAUAAGGUAAAGUUAUUAUUUUAUUUUAAAGCAAAUAGUAUUUUGAGAUGAUUUUGCUUUUAAAAAAAGAAUUUAUAUCUUUACAUUAGAGUUUCAUUAGCUAACAUCCACAAAAGCGAGAUGGUAUAACCCACUUGAAUUUAUUAAGGAGAGUGAUGAAAAUGAUGAGAGUUUCUUCUCCCACCUUUAAUGCUCUUUAGAUUGACUAACCUUCAUGCAUAUUUUGAUCAAAAAAAGAAUUGCUUCUAGAUUGACCAAUUUAAAAGUUUAUUUUGGAGGCUUUUGGCAACAUAGCGGAGUAGGAGAAUAAAUUACUUAGGCGACAUAUUAUUUGGAGAUGUGGAUCAAAACCCAGUUGAAAAAUGAAAUGAGUUGUGUAAAUAGUGGCCUAGUGGAUCGGGAAACUCGUUGUGUCAAAUCUGAGUGACUCAAGUGAGAUGUUUAAUUAGUGUCGCUAUAUCGUUUGAACUCUUAUCUCAUUUAUAACACCUUUUUCUCAUAUAGUAUGAAAAAAUCUUCGGAUCACUCUAAAAUAUUAUGUGAUGAAAUAUCUUUAAAAAUAAUUUUGUAAUUUAAAAAAACACCGAUUUUAACUUUGAUGUGAAAAUAACUUGAGUUUAAAAUCAAUGUGCAUGAAAAUAAAAUACCUGAAAAUUAGAAAAUUAAAAUAAUUGAAAUGUAAAGUGCGUAAAAUGUAAAUUACAUUGAAAGUAAAUGACUAGAAAGAUAAAUUAUGCUAAAAAGUAAAUGACGUCAAGACUCUUUUGAUCGCAUGGUAGCACGUGACUUCUAUCAACCUAUAAUUAAUUGGCACUACAUCAAGAAGUAAUUGAUGAUUAGUAUAAAUGUAUUUUAUAGGCCAAAUAACACUCGUAGUUCCUUAACUUAAUUUCAAUUAACAUUUUAGUCAUUUAUCUUUUUUUUUUUUCCCGAUUUGAUUUUUUAUUUUAAUUUUAAGUGACAAUUUGAUCUUUUAUGUUUUAAAAUGUCAACAAUGUUAUCCUUCUUUUUUUUCAAAAAUUCAAAAAAUUAUCAAAUUUUUCAAAUAAAAACCAUAAAAUUAAUUAUAUUCUUCAAUAUAAUACAAAUUUCAUAAAAUUCGUAACUCAAAUAUUCAAAUAAACUCAUAUUUUCAUUCUUUAUUGGAUGUUGUUAGAGAUGAAAAUAUGAGUUUAUUUAAAGAUUUAAGUUAUGAAUUUGAUGAAAUUUGCAUUAUAUUGAUAAUGAUAAUUAACUUUAUGGGUUUUGUUUGAAAUUUUUGCAAAAAAAAAAAUGAUAAUAUUAUUGACAUUUUAAACUCUCACUUGUUUUUAUUUUAUUUUUUAUGCGGCUGCUUCUGGUUGUACAUAUUGUGCAAAUAGAUGAUGAGUUGGUAUGAGAAGAUAAAAUUGAAGAUGAAGUUGACGAGUGACGAACAUGAUGUGAUCACAUUACUAGAAUUUAUCUUAUCAUUUAGUUUGUUGCGCCCAGGGAUGAGAAUGUGUAGGGUUUGAAUAUGGUACUAUAGUAUCCGUCUUCAUACCCGCGAUUUAAAAAAAUACUCAUACUCGUGUCCGUAUCCUCUUGAGUAUCAACUUUAAUACCCGCACCCUUACCCUCUGAGUACUUAAGUGCCCGUACUCAUACAUUACCCACAUUUUAACUAAAAAAAUGGAUAAAUAAAUAAUAUUGUUGGGAUUAAAUUUAAAAAUUAUUCAAAUAUCUUAAAUUGAAUCAUAAAAUAUUAUAAAUCAAAAUAUUUUCUAACUCAAAAUAUUUCAAAUGAACACUCAUUACAAUACAUAUUUAAUAUAUCCAUAAUAAUAUUUUAUGAAGUUGCAAGUCAUACGACAAUAUUAUCUAAGAUAAUUGAUACAAAAAUUGCAAGUAUAAUUAUAAAGUCACGAUUAAUAAAAUAUAACUAUUAGCUAUAAAAUCACAAUUAUUUACCUAUUUAUCAUAAUCAGAUUCUUAAAAAUUUUGCAAACGUUUAUGUUUCAAUUAUAAAUAUUGUAGUGGUUCAAUGAUAUUAAUAGAUGUUAAAACAUAAAAGAAAACAAUUAAUUAAACUAAACACUAAUAUAAUAAAUAAAUAAAUAACUAAAUAAAUAAUAUAUUUAUAUAAGUGCGGAUGCGUGGCGGGGUGGGUACUAUAGUACUCGCACCCAUACCUGCUUAAUUUUGCGGGUAAUUAUCCGUCCCUAUGUCUAUACUCAUUAUGCGAGUUUUUACUCUAUCAAUUGUGAUUUUUUUGUGUGAAUACGUACUGGAUCUUUGUCUAUUUGUCAUUCCUAGUUGCGUCAUGUUAAUUUAUUUUUGUUAUUUUGAGAUUAUAAGAAUAAUUGUGAUGUGAUUAUAGUUACAUUCGAAUAACUUUCUAAGAAUCGAUUUCGUCCAAAAUAAUUUUUGAGCAAAAAAUGUCAUGAAAAAUAUUUCUAAGGAUUGGGUAAUAUCCUCGGUAAAGUCAUGAAAAAAAAAUGUUGGUUUGAGUUUUUGCAAGACGAUUGGUGAUUUGACUUUUAGCAGAGUAAUUUCUAAGAAAUUACUGCCGUGUAAUUUUUUAGGAUGAGAAAAGUUUCAGAAGUAGUUUCAAUUUUUUAAAUCUAAAAUACUUUUUAGAAAUAUAUAUAUAUAUAUAGAUGGUGAAGAAUAGAAGAAGGAAUUAAAUGACCAAGAGACUAAGAAAUAUAGUGAUUAAAAGAAACUAAAGAGAUAAAAAAUUAGAUAAGAGUGAAAGCUUAGUUUUUGAAAAUCUAAAAAAAAUAACUUAAAUCAUCAAUCUAAAAAUACUUAAAUAAUGAAAACCUUAUCUUUUGUUUUUUGUUUUGUUUUGAAUAAUGAACACUAUUUUAUUUUCUUUUAUUUCACACUUUAGAGUUUAUCUAUCCUUGUACAAGAUUUAGAUCCAAUAACAAGAUUGAUGUUCUUUUUAACACAAAAAAUUAGAAACCUUUAGAAUUAACCUAAUUAAAUAUACUUAAGCAACAUUAGUUUAAAGAGAGCAAAAGUACCAAAAUAUGCUCACCAAAAUACCUAUUGCAACAUUUAUAUAAUGUCUUUUGACAAUAACAUUAGUUGUUAGUUGUAUUUUGUGGUAAUAAUCAAACACUAAGAAUUAAUAGAUUUAAUUAUAAUUUUAAUUUCCCUAUUUUUAUUGAUUUAUAAAAUUGGUCUCCCUAUUUUAAAAGUCGACAAUUUUGGUUUCUCUCUUAUUUUUUAACUAAAAAAUAAUGACGUGUGAUGCUUUAAAUAAUGUGAUAUAUGAUACGACAAUAUAAAAUAAUUAACAUUAUUGAAAUUUGAAUACAACGUUGUAAAAACUUAGCUUUCAACUUUAGAAUUUUUUUCAUAUUUUUAAUUUAACUAAUGACAUGAAUAAUUAAUGCAUCUAGAUGGUUCUAUAUCAUAUAAUUGUAUGUCAUGUCGCUAAAAACAUAUUUUUAGUUCAAAAAUCUGAGGGAUAAAACAAAACUGUCGACUUUUAAAAUAGGAUGACCAAUUCUGUGAAUUGUUAAUAAUAAAUGGAUCAAAAUUGCAAUUAAACUUAAUUAAUAUUGAUAAACAAUAAAUUUUUAUAAUCGUUAUAUGUUUAUCAUCACAUCACAUGUAGAGAUUAAAUUUGGUCAAAUAGUUGAAGGAUUAAAAAUAAAUUAUCCUAUAUGUGCACAACUUAUCUUUGUUUGUAAAUUAAAAUACUAAACAAGUCACAAAACGGAUCAUCACUUCACAAUCUUUUAAUUGCAUGUAUUAACUAUAAGAGGUAUUCUCAAUGCAAUAAUUAAACUUUGGUAAUAAGUGAUGUCAUAUAAUGAGUGUCUUUUGACAUUUUUAUUAUCCAUAUAGAAAAAUUUAAUAAUUUUUUAUUUGAAAAUUAAAAAAUCACCAAAAUCAAAUUAAAUCUAUAUCAUAACCACAUCUCAAUCCUUAAUUUUCAAAAAAUUAUAAAAAAUUUCAAAUACUAAUUUACAAUUUAAUGCACUCGAUAUCGAUGAUUUUAAAAUCAUUAAAAGAGGAUUCAUAAAUACCGAGACAAUUAUUCACCAAAAUCAUUGAACAGCAAAUCAUAAUGGCCACACUUAGGGAUGGCAAUGGGUAGAGUAUGAGAAGGGGUAGGGUACUAUAGUACCCGUUCCCAUACCCACAAUUUAAAAAAAUACUCAUACAUGUGUCCGUACCCUCUUGGGUAUCAACUUUAAUACUCGUACCCUUACCCUCUGGGUACUUAAGUACUCGUACCCAUAUCCGUUACCCACACUUUAACUAAAAAAAAUCGAUAAAUAAAUGAUAUUAUUGUAAUUAAAUUUAAAAAUUAUUCAAAUAUCUUAAAUUCAAUCAUAAAAUAUUAUAAACCAAAAUAUUUUCUAACUCAACAUUUUAAAUGAACACUCGUUACAAUACAUAUUUAAAUAUUUAUAAUAAUAUUUUGUGAAAUUGCAAGUCAUACGACAAUAUUAUCUGAGAUAAUUGAUACAAAGUUGCAAGUAUAAUUAUAAAGUCACGAUUAAUAAGAUAUAACUAUUAGUUAUAAAAUCACAAUUAUUUACUAUUUAUCAUAAUCACAUUCUUAAAAAUUUUGCAAACGUUUAUGUUUCAAUUAUAAAUAUUGUAAUGGUCCAAUGAUAUUAACAGAUGUUAAAACAUAAAAAGAAAACAAUUAAUUAAACUAAACACUAAUAUAAUAAAUAACUAAAUAAAUAAAUAAUAUAUUUAUAUAAGUGCGGGUGCGGGGCGGGACGGAGUGGGUACUAUAGUACCCGUACCCAUACCCAUACCCGCUUAAUUUUGCAGGUAAUUACCCAAACCCAUUAUGCAGGUUUUUACCCUAUCCAUUGUCGGUUUUUUUUUGCGGGUACCCACUAAGUAUGGAUCUAAUUGCCAUCCCUAGCCACACUAAACCAAAUAUUGACCAAAUACCCUUUUGAAUAAAACAUACACUUAUAGUAUGUCCAUCUUGAAGCUAUAUAAAUCUGGAUGCAAAUGUAUACACUUUUCUUUUUCUUCAAAAUUUUAGACAUCAAAUAUAUAGCAUGUUCAACCAUAAAACAAAAUAUGGUCACAACGAUUUUGUAAUAAAAAAUACACAAGAUUAAGUUUUGAGUGAAUUGAGUUUCAAGUAGUAAAGAUCCAUGAAAUAAGAGUCAUAUCAGACUAAUUAAACAAACCAAACGAGAGUAAAACUUAAUUUCAAUAUCGAAAUCCUUUUAUUAAAUAUGACAAACAAAAGUAAAACUUUAUAUAAUAUAGGACGCAAUUAACAAAAGUACUAUUAUGUCAAGAUUAUCUGUAUCCAACCAACAUCAAUUCUCGAUUAAAAGGGUAUUGUACAAUUCGGUGAGGAUAAUAACAAAAGACUAUGUAAAAUUAAAGGAGAUAUACUAUGUUCUUUGGAAAAUAAACUAUAUUUUUUAUAAUGGAUUGACAUAUUUAAGAUCGUUCAUUGAUUAUAUUUUAAACUUAUUUUUGACAUAAAAAAUAAGUAACAUAAUCAUAUUAAGUAAUAUUAGGAAAAAAAUUACUAGUAAAUAUUCUUUAAAAAAUAUAUAAUUUAAAUCAUAGUCUUUUCACCUAUUUAAUUAAAGAUUAUUAUUAUUUUGGUAGAUAGUAUUUUGUUUACCAUGCGAUAUUCUAAACACCCCAAUCAAUCUUGUUUUGUUUUCUACUAUUAGUUGUGUCCUUUAUGGAGUUCCAUAAUUAUUACCUUGCUAAAAUAAAUGACACGUAAACUCACCAAACAGCAAUAAAAGCACUUUGAUAGAACAAAGUCACUUAAUAAUGCAUAAACAACUUUUUGAAGUGUAGUGAUCAUGUUAGACUAAAUUUGCAUUCAUAUGAGUUAAGAAACAAAAUAAGCAACUCUUACACUCGGAUAUUUUCUUCUAGUUUUCAAUUUAAGCAAAAAUAGAGUAAAAAAUUAACGUAUCUGAUUUAAAAUUAGUUAAUAUAUUUAAUUUAAAUUUAAAACACAUAAAUAUUUUUUUACUCCACUUUUAGUUAUAUUUAAGACGGAAGGAAGUAUUUUCACAAAAUCUGUUGAAACAUAUAUUUUGAUUGAUGUUGCUUUGUUAGAAGGGAUAUCAUAUGGGUGGUUUUUAAAAUAUUCAAUGAAUUUGAUUCAAGUAUUUAUUAGUUUUCACUUCUAAGAUUCCUUAAAAUCUAAUUUUCAUAGCUACUCUUCAAAUGCAUUCUGAGCAAACCUUAAAAACUAAUUUUUUUUUUAUAUAUUUAUUUAAAAAUAAAUUACCGUUCUAUGAUCAAACUCUUACUGUUAUUGAAGUAACAUUUGAUAGAAAAACUUCUUAUACAAUCUUUCUUGCCCAGUUUAUCAAAUAUAUUUUCAUAGGAAUAUCUUAUAUAUGUAUUUGUAGAAACUUGGUAAGAAGACAAAACCAUGAGAACAUAAAUCUCUUAGGUAAAUGUUUAUGAUCUAUAUUUUAAUUGAACUUCAAAAGGUAAAUUAAAUAAUAAAUUUUUUAAUAUUGCAUGUUGUGGGACUUCAAGUAGGUAGUUUUGCAAUGUUUAUCUACAUCAUGAACAAGAUAAAAAAUUUAGUUUCACUAAAAUAUUUCAUUGAACAAUUGUUCCUUAAAUAUUUCUAUGAACAAUUUUUGUAUGUGAUUUUAAAUAAAGUCAUGCGUAUCAAUUGAAUUUUUGUAAAAAUAUUUAGAAUAUUAUAAGAAUUUUUUUUAUAAUAUUUAGAAUUUUUAUUAAAGAUAAAUUAAAUAUAAAUUUUUAAAUACUAAAAGUCUAAAACAAUCAUAUUUAACUCGUCAUUUAUUAAAAAAAAAUUAAAUUUUUAUAGGAGAGAUCCUUAUAAUAUUCUACACAUGUAUACAAAAAUAAUUUUAAAAUUCAAACGAUACAUAUGAACUAUUUUAAAAGUUGGGACCAAAAUUUUUGAUAAAAAAUAUUUGAUGGACCAUUGUUUGAAUAAAUUUUUUCGAUAAACAAAAAACAAAAUAUAGUAUAUUUAUAAAAACAAAUAACUUAUUUAAUUUUUCUUUAUAUAUAGCAGAAACAUAUUAAUUUUGUUUAGGAAAAAAAACAUAUUACUUUAUCCUAAUUACAUGAUUUAAUGUAUUUUAACUUUUUGGUAUUUAACUAAAAAAAACUUCCUUAGCAUUUCACCUUGGUCAUAUUAUUAUAAACAUUACUAGAUUUCAACCACACCACCAUGUUUAUUGAAAUUUUAUUUUAAUCUCCAACAUUCUUAAUCCACUAAAUUACACCAAUGAAUUACAACCAAUAAAUAGAAUACAUCUUUCAAAGGGUACUCUAGCUCAAGAGAAUCUCUAGAUGUUUGCACUUUUCAUUUAUUCAUCCAAUAAAAUAAAAAGUCUCUAACACAAAUUGCCUAAAACAUACUCAAACAAAUUAUGCUUCCUUCAAACUAGUACUAAAAUUUCAAACUUAUCAUUUGUGAGUGGUUUGUUGUGAGUAUGAUCAAAUUCCUAAACUCAAUUUAUUUAAACUUUUUAAAUAAAAAAGAAAUUCAAACUUCAAAUAGAUUCAAGUCCAUGAACAAAAAGGGAAGAAAAAGCUUCCAUGUCUUCCUUAUUCAAAGCCAAACUAAUCUCAAUUCCACCAUUACCAUUCCUACUUUCAGAAAGAGAAAAAGCUCUUGUUUUAUCAAUUGAAGUCAUAUCAACUUUCUUAGGCUUUCCAAAUCCAAAAUCAAUACCAUAAACUUCAAACCUUGGUGAUCCAGCAAUAGAAUAAAUUUUAGUACUUUCACUUCCUUUAAACAUAUGAGAAAGCCAAUUUUUUGCUCCAUUCAAAACUUCACCAUCUUUAACUCUAUUCAAACUUUCAUUAAUCUCUUCCAAAGCAACAAAAAAUCCAUCUUCACCAACUAAUUUCUCUGUCUCAAACACAAUCUUUUGUCCUGCAACACAAUUUCCAAAAUACAUAGUAGAAAUUGGAGGGUCCAAUCUUGUUCUACAAUCAACACUAAAUAUGAAAAUAGCUUUAUCAACUUUUGGUUUUUCUGCUUUUGCUAAACAUGAUAACACAUAUGCACAUGUAACUGAAAAAGAUGACAAAUUUAUAACAUUCAUUUUUUUCAUCUCAUUUUUUGCAUGUUGCUUAAGCUUUUGAAUAUUUGAAGGUGUUAGUUCAAAUAAACUUUUCAUUGCAUCAUUUUUCAUUGUACAAGGAAUAUCCCAAACUUUGAGACUUUUAUUGUUUGGUCCACCUUGCUUCAUCCAAGCUUCCACAAAUGCUUCAUCGAUUCCGUUAGGAUCUUGUAUCAUUGAUCUAUCAAGAAAAGGUGUUAGAUUUUCAGGUAAUGAUUGUGAUUUUUCAGAAGAAAUUGGCACUGCUAAUUCAGAAUUCGACUGAGAAAUAAGUAAAGUCUGAUCGAAGUUAGAACAUAUAAAGGCCCAUGAUUUCAUAAAAGUGGUUGAAGAUUUUCCAUCUAAAGCAGCAUGGUGUGUGGUGAUUCCAAUGCAAAAACCAAAGUUUGGAAACAAAGUGACUUGAAUUGAGAUCAAAGAAGCUUUUUCAUAAGAAGUUUUCAAAAGGGGUAUCAAGUGAUAUCUUUGUGAAGCAUCACAAUGAUCAGAAGAAAGAUCUUUGAAACUUGAAUUGGAUUCAGCAACAAUGAAAGAAACAGAAUCACCAACUACAUAGUUGAUGAUUGGUUUUGAAGAAUCAUUUGGCCAAAUAAUGUUACCAGCAAGAGGUAGAAAAUGUUGAAGUGUGAGUGAAAGUGAGUGUUUGAGAUUUGGAAGAAUGGAAUCAUAGAAAGAAAUGGUUGAGUUUUUUGUGAAUUCAUAGAAGAAGAGUCUUUCAACAGGUGGAAAUCUUAACCAUAAAAGAUCAAAGAAAGUUAGUGGAAGUGAGGUUGGAGAUUGAAAAGAUUCUGUUGUUUCAUGAAUUGGUUCAAUGUUACAAACUUCAACAAUUUUUAAUGAUUCUUGUUGUGCCAUGUUCUAUCUAUUUUGUAAAGGAGAAAGAAAGAAAGAAAGAAAGAAAGAAAGAAAGAAAUAAAUGUUUAUAGCAUAUGGCAACCAUUGUCCAAAGCAAUAAUAUAUACUAAAAAUUUGAUGAAUACAAUAUUUUAUUCUCACUACUUUAAUGGAAAUUAUAUAAAUGAAAUUUAAUAAUAUUAAAUAAUUGCUCCUAACAAUGAAAGGCAUAUUAUGAUUUAUUUAAAUAUGAUUUUUCUUUCUAAAAUCUUGCUCUAUAUAUAUAUAUAGAAAAUUUGAUUGGAAAAACAAAAUUGACUUCGAAUUUUUAACGAGUUAUGCAAUAGAGAUUAAUUACUAUAUAUGUCUUUAAUUUAUAAAUAUUUAUGAAAAUAAAUUAUUUUCAAAUAUAAGUAUUUUUUUUUAUUCAGUGUAUUUAUUAUUUUUUGCAAAAAAAUAUUUUUAUAUAAUUAUUUAUUUAUUUUAAAAUAUCAAAAAUCAAAUUUGAUACAUUUAAAUAUAAAUAUUAUUUUUUGUCAAAAGAAAGUACAAAUGUUAUUUAUAAUGAUCUACAUAUUAAAUUUAUUAACUACUUUUUUAAUAUAUAUAAAAAAGUAAUAGUUUCUUAUAAAAGAGAGAGGAAUAUAGUACAAAUUAUGAGUCUACUCAAAUGUACUGGUAGGUUGAUUUUUAAUUUACUGUUGACUUUUGAUAUUUAUAAUAUUAUUUAUAAUAUUUUCUGUUGUUGAUAUUAAGUUGAUUUUAUAAUUGUUGACUUUUGAUUGAUUUUCACUUUUUAUAUUUGUCAUGCUAUUUUUUGGUUAUUCUCUAAUUUAUUUUAUUUUACUACAUAAAAGUUAUGUUUGUGUUCAUAUUGAAAAGUAGAAAAAACAAUCUUUAAUUCAGAGAAUUUUCAAUUUUUUUUUCUUUUCAUAUUUUCCAUUUUUCUUUAUCAUUUUUGAUGUUUAAGUUCUAUAUUAAUUGUUUUUGUAUAUAGUUACUAAUAAUAAACUUUGAUUGAUAUUUUAAAAAAAAUUGAUGGAAAAUAAUAAUUAUUUUCUUUUGUUGUCUAUGUUAUGUGUUAUGAUGUAUUGAUAUUCUAUUUUGUAUUGAUGAAUAAUAAUAAUAAAAUGUUGAUACUUUUAUGUUGGAAGUUUUAAUAAUAUAUGUUUUUAGCAUUUUUUAAUUUUUCAAGUAUAUAAAAUUACUUUCUAAAUUAUUUAAUUUUUUUAUAAAAAAAUAUAUGAAUGUUAUUUUGAUGUUAUUUUAUCACAAUAUAAAUCAUAUUAUUUGGUUAUCUGUUGUGUAUCAAAUAAUGAAUAUGAUAAGCUAGUUUUAUCAAGUUUGUUAUCAUGUGCACAUCAAACACAUGACACGCUAACUCUUUAUCAUAUCCAUAUCCUAUGUUGUCUAUAUCCUGCUCCUUAUCCUAUCAUGUCUCUAUUCUAUCAUCUCCGUCAAAUGGGCCAUAUAGAGAAUUUAGUCUCUAGGAGCAACAAAUAUAUAUAUAUAUAUAUAUAUAUAUAUAUAUAUAUAUAUAUAUAUUUUUUAAAUGUAUGUUUGGUCGCAUGAGUUUGUGUUUUUUUUUUUAUGUAAUUUUUUUAAAAUAAUUGUCUCUGUAAAAUUAAUUUUAUUUUGAAAUUGUGAAUAAAAGAACUCUGUUAGUGAAUACUAAAAAUAUAAAUUUACAAAGAUAAAAAUAAAAAAAAUAAAACAUAAACUUAUAGGAAUUAAAUAUAUAUAAAUUUGUAUUUUUGUUUGUUUGUUAUUUAUCUUUUUCUCACGUCAGUUUUUUUUAAUAGUCAUUAACUGCAACGACUAUUAUAAAAAGCAAUUGAAUUUUUUGAGUUAAAUUUGCAAUAACAAAAAAACUAUAGAGAUGAAACUAAAAAAACCAUAACAAAGACUAAACAUAUAUUUAAGUUUUUCUUAAUAGUAAUUUGACAAAUAAAUGUUGAUUUAUAAAAAAUAAAAUUUAUUUAGACAUUUGAAAUCUUAUAUUUCAUCAUUUGUUUGUCCGAUUAUCAUAAAAAAUGUUCAAAUAUAUAUUUAGUCUCGGUUAGCAUUUAUUUAUUUAUUUUUGUUCCUGUAAUUUUUUUUUUGUAAAUUUAAACCAAUUAUAAAGUUAGAUAUUGAUCUAACGAUAAAAAGUUAGAUAUAAGAUCUUCUCUAGUGUUAUUGAAAGAAGAUUUGGAUUGAGGCACCAUCCUCUUAUCCUAAUUUUUUUAAGUAAAAUACUUUAUGCGCUUAACUUAAUUUUAGGUAACAAUGCAGUCAUUUAUUUUAUUUUUUUUGAUUUCGUCAUUUAUUUAAUUUUAAGUAACGAUUUGAUGAUUUAUGUCUUAAAAUAUCAACAUUAACAUUUUUUUUACAGAAAAUUCAUCAAUUUUUUUAAAUAAAAUCAUAUUUUCAUCUCCAACAUUAUCAAAUUCAUCAAAAACAAUCAAGAUUUAGUAAAUAUCUUGGUGAUUUGACGAUCAAAUCUUAAAGUAUGAAUUCUUUAUUUGAUGGAUUUGGUGUUGUUUGGUUGUUAGAGAUAUAGAUAAACAUUUAUUUGAAUAUUUGAAUUACGAAUUUUUUUGAAAUUAAUUUUGUUUAAAGAUUGGUUGAAUUUUUAGAGUUUUUAUAAAUAAAAAAGUACCAAAAAAAAAGUUAUUAUGUUGAUUUUAUUUAUAUGGUCAACCCAUAUAGCCGUCCUCUUUGGAAAAUAAAAUUGUUAGUCAUAUCUGGAGUGGAUUUGGUUUUAAUUAGGUAGGAGGGUUUUUUACAUAGAUAAAAGUAUAAAUAGAAACGUGGAGGAGUUUGUAACUUUAUAUGGUGUGUAUCUUUCUAUAAAAAAAAAAAAAAAAAAAACCAUUAUAAGAGGUGUACAAAUAGAAACGUGUAUUUAUCAUGUAAAAAAAUAAAGAAAUAUAUGUAAAAAGUUUUCCUUUAAAAGUUGAACUUUCUUCUUAUUCAAACAAAUUUAUUUUAAUCAUUAUCUUCUUAUUAAAGACAAAAUUUCGAAGCUUUGAGAAUCCGUUUUUGCAACCUACACUUCUACUUCUCGACUAAUUUGUUGUGGUUGUAUUCUAUAUAUACUCAGACUAAUUUGUUUUUUAUACGCAUUUCUCAACUCUCAUAAUAUCUUCUCACUUCCUUAAAUCUUGAUAAUUAACCAAAUCAUUAUUAAUUGUAGUCUCGUCUCGUCUAGAUAAUUUGAUUAAUAAAUUAAAAAAUAUUAAAAAAAUACAUCAAAUAUUCGAUCUCCACUAACAAAUUAAUCGCUAAGAUAUUUAUUAAAAAAUAGCACCAAUAUUAUACAGAUACCAUAAUUAGAGCAACAUAGUAGUUAUUAGAAAAAAGAUAAAGUUGUAAGAGUUAUCAAUGAAAAAGGAUCUUGUGCGGUCAUAAGAGUUAAAUGCAUAUACACAAAAGAAAGAAAGAAAAAAGUAAUAAUGUUAUAUUUCUUAAAAGGUUAUGGUAAAUAUAAAAAUAGAACUAAAUGCCGUGUUAUUUAUAAAAGCAAACCUCGUAAAUUAUAUAUAUUUUUAUUAAAAAAAUUAGUGAAGUUGACUUCUAAUUUAACUUUUAAAUCUUGCCAAACUUAAAAAUGAUCAGAUCUAACCUCCCCCUUCAAGCUCAAUCUUGUCUUCAAGGUUGAAUUCCAAAAAUUGAUUUUGAAUUGUAUUAACAUCUUCCCAAAUGGCCUCCUCUACAGGCUCUUGCUGCCAUUGAAUUAGCACUUGUUGCACUUGUUCUCUUUGUUGUUGUAUGGUUCUUCUGCCCAGUACAUGUGAAGGCGUAUAUGCAGGGUCCUGCCCAUGUAAUUUUGUAGGUAGGGUUGUUUCCACCUCACAUUUUCCCAGAUCCAACUUUAAUUGUGAAGCGUGGAAAACCGGAUGAAUGUGAGCCUCUGUUUGAAGUUGGAGUUUAAAGGUUUUAGUCCUAAUUUGUUUUAACACCAAAUAAAGACCAUAAUACUUAGUUGCUAGUGUAUGAUGAAGCUGUGUUGGCAUAGUAACCUUCCCAAAUGAUAUUUCAGUUGUCUCAAUGUUUCGUCUCUGGUCAUCAGGUCUUGUGCCACUGCUUCCACUAUAGUGUCCCCGGGUACAAAUCGUGCUAGCGAUGGUGGUGGUCUACCGUAAACUGUUUCAAAAGGAGUACACUUGGCAGCCCCUUGAAAACUAGUAUUAUACUAAUAUUCUGCCCAUGGUACCAUUUCUAUCCAAUUUUUUGGUUGUUCCGAACUAAAGCAAGCUGAGUAAGGAUGCCUGAUGAGAAUAAAAUGACCAUAUUUGUUGAGUCGAUCCACCACCACUAAUAGCACGUCAAAUCACUCGGCCUUAGGAAAACUCACAAUGAAGUCCAUACUAAUGUCUUCUCAAAUUUUAUUCGGAAUCGGUAAUGGUUGGAGCAGCCCCUCUAGCGAUGAUGCUUGAUACUUACUUACUUAGUUGGAAAAUGUGGCAUGCAGAAACAUAGUCGUUGACUGUUGUUUUCAUGCCAAUCCAAAAUAAUGAUUGAGCUAGUUGUUUUUACGUGCGAAAGACCCCAUAAUGACCUCUUAUCAGAGAGGUAUGAAACUCACGCAGUAACUUAGGUAAUCCAACUAGACUUUGGUUGCAGAACCAAUCUUCCCUUGUAAUACAACCUUCCAUUUUCCAAAGUAUAGUUGUCAUGUGACUCUGGCCUCUCCUUCAAGUCUUCACAUAUUUUAUUUAGCACAUGAUCCUACUUAACCUCUUCAUCUAUAAGGUUUAUAUCCUACCAAAGGGGUCUAGUCACCACUUUUAACUCUAACUCUUUAGAUUUUCUUGACAAGGCAUCGACAACUCUAUUGGUGCUUCCCUUUUUGUAGAUAAUAUCAAACUCAUAACCCAAUAAUUUGGCUAACCAAUUUUGUUGAUUUUGUAUGGUGAUUCUUUGUUCAAGGAGGUGUCGUAGAAACUUCUAAUCUGAGUAGACUAUAAACUUCCUCGCAAUCAGGUAUGGCCUUCAAUGGUGAAUCGAUAAGACCAAUGCCAUCAACUCUUUUUUAUAGACAUAUUUGUUAAAGGAAGAAUCUGCCAGUGCUUUGCCGAAGAAAGCAAUUGGCCUCUUGUUUUGAGUAACCACAACGCCAACCCCUCGACCCGACGCAUCGCACUCAAUGCUGAAAGUUUGAUCAAAAUCUGGCAUAGCCAACAUCAGAGCUGUUGUGACCGCCUCUUUAAGUUUCGUGAAGGUUACUGUACUAUCUGAAUUCCACUGAAAAUUCUUUUUUUUUUUUAACAAAUCAGUCAAGGGACGCGUUAUCUUCCCAUAGUUGCAUAUGAAUCUCCGAUAAUACCUAGUCAAUCCCAAAAACCCCCCACAAAGCUUUGAUUGUCUUAGGAAUAUGCCAAUCUACAACUGCUUCUACCUUUUUGGGAUCCAUAGACACUCCUUUUUCAGAAAUGAGUUGCCCCAAGUAUCCUACUGUGGUCUGCCCAUAUUUACACUUCUUUAAAUUGGCAUAGAAUUGUUGUUGCUGCAGAAUGUAUAAUAUGCACUUCAGGUGGCUCAAAUGUUCCUUCCAGGACUUACUGUAAAUGAGGAUGUCGUCAAAGAAAACUAAUACAAACUUUCGGAGAUACGGCUGGAAAGUAUCGUCUAUGGCGCAUUGAAAGGUGGUUGGGGCGUUGGUUAAACCAAACGGCAUCACUUAAAAUUCAUAGUGACCUUGGUGGGUUCGGAAGGCUGUUUUGUGGACAUCUGCUUCAUGCAUCCUUAUUUGGUGAUAUCCCGACCUCAAAUCAAUUUUUGAAAAAUACCUUGGCCCAUUUAAUUCAUCCAACAACUCUUCGAUAAUCGUAAUGGGAAACUUAUCUAGCACAAUAGCCUUGUUUAAAGCGCGAUAAUCUACACAAAAUCUCCAACUGUCGUCUUUCUUUUUAACCAAGAUGAUUGGGCUUGCGUAAGGACUGUUACUUGGUCUGAUUAUUUCCGACUUAAGCAUAUCACCAAUCUGUUUUUCGAUCUCGUUCUUCUGUAAAUGAGGGUACCGGUAAGGCCUAACAUUCACUGGAUCAACACCCGUUCUGAUGGGUAUUUUAUGAUAUGCGUCACGAUUAGGAGGCAUCCCUGUAGGUACAACACAAACACCUUGAAACUCAUCCAGAAUCUGUUGUAACUCUUUCCUUUGUGAUUUUGGAAGUUGCACUUUAACCUCAUGACAUGUAUCUUUUUGUUUCGAAACCCCAUAAUAAUGAAUCUGCUUCCAUUUCAAUCAUUUUCAUGAGGGCUUGAGGUGAAACCAACGCCUUGGAUAACGUAGGAUCACCCUUCAUUUCUACCACAGUUCCUUGUGCUAUCAAAUUCAUAGUGAGGGUUCUCCAAUUUACCUUGACCUCCCCCAAGGUUGCCAACCAAGCCACACCCAAUAUUAAGUUCUUGUAUAGUUUAUCAAGAAAUUACAUACAACAAUCUCAUUAUAUAUUUAUCUUAUUUCUUCUUUCACUAAUAACUUCGUCUUCUCAAUUCUCUUUUUCUAAAUAGACUCUUUUAUGUACACGUAAGACUUUAUACAAGAAAUAGAUAAAACAUUUUAUGCCUAUUUAGUUCAAGAACUUGAAUCCAUUUAUUUUAAAGUUAAAAACUAUGCCACUAUUUUGAAGGAAGCAAAACUCCACGAAAGUGUUUGAGGAAGUUUGUGUUAGAGAGAAACCCUUUAUUUGGUAGUAUGAGUAAAUGAAAACUUGAAAGCAUUAGCUUAUUAUCUAUCAUACAAAUUUUGUAACAUUAUAAUCAUAAUCGAUAUAGUAAGCAUCUAGCGACUCUGCUCAGCUAGAGUACCCUAAUUAAUUUGGAAGAUGAAUUAUAUGUACUGUGAAUGAACUAUACUAGAUUAUUAGCUAACUUGACAGCAACAACAAUAUCCAAACUUUUCCUUUUUUAGUUUUCUUCAAAUUUCAAAUUGAAUUGAAAUAAAAAUUAGCUAGAAGAAACUUACACUACUAGAAAAAUAGGUUUUAGCGUCGGCCCAAAGCCGACGCUAAUAGGGCAAAAGCCCACGCUAGCGCUUAUUUAACGUCGGAGUCGGGCCUAGGCUAAAGCGAUCGAAGCUAACUCUUAGCGUCGGACAAAUACCAGCCGACACUACCUUAGCGUCGCCAGGCCGACGCUAUGUUUACGCUAUGCGUAAAUUGAAAUAUUCGACGCUAAAAAUAUCAGUUGUCAAGUCAGUUGGGGCGGGAAAAACGUUGCGUCGGCUAGCCGACGCUAGGGUUAAAAUAAAAGUCAACUGAAUUUAUAAAGGAGCGUCGGAGCGGCCGACGCUAAGGUCAAAAUUAUUUAAUUAAUUAUUUUUAAUUUUAUAUCACCUGCUUUACUGAAUUUCAUUUUUGUUAAUAAUAUAAUUGAUUGCUAAUAAACAUUAAAAGUCAUUCAUUGACAUUAUAACAAACGCACAAAGUAUUAAAUAACAUAACAAAAUAUAGAGAGGUUUAACAUCAGAUUUUAGUUUAGUAUAUGAGCAAUUUAAACAAAGUAUAGGGAGGUUUUCCAAACUUGCAUUGAACAUCAGAUUUUAGUUUAGUUAGAUUGCACUUUUACAUAGUUCGGCGAAGUUUUCCAAAUUCAGCAUGUACACCAACAAACAAACUUAACAACAUAUAUAUUAAUAACAAAGUAUAAUUAAAUUAACAACAUCCAUACCUUUCAAGUGCUUAUAAUCCUUCCCCCUCCAAACUACGAUUUGUUGUUUAUCGAAAUUCACCAGGAUACAGGGGACCAAGUUCUGCAUCAAUGCAUUUGGGAUAGUUAGAAAGCAACAAUUUACAGAACCAAGCAGAAAAAUGAACCAGAAAUGCAGAAAAACGCAUAAAACCUUUAUAUGUAAGCAUGAUAUAAUUCUUACUAACGCAGAAAACCAGAUUCUUACUAACGCUGAUUACAUGAUAUAAUUUAAUAAUCAGAGGAAGAGAGACAAAAUAACACAGAUGAAAGUAUUAUAGCUCUGUCUAAUUUUUCACAUAAUACUAGUAUAUUUAAUCUAUUCAGUGAAUCUAGCCAAUUAAGUUGAUUAAAUAAAAAAUAGUGUUAUAAAUCUCAUAGUUGAAAAUAUAUAUAAUAGUGUUAAAUAGUGUUAUACACAUAUGUUCAAUUAGAUCUGAUUAUUUAGAAUACACAGCCAAAACAGGACUUAUCAAGUGGACUUAUCAAGUGGAUAAUCAGGAACUUCUGGCCACACAUUAAUCCAAUUACCAAUGAAUGAAUGAAUUAAAAACUCCAGGGCAUUGGGCAUGUGUAACUAGAAGAAUAUUAGAAAUUACCAAUGAAUGACCAAAACAGGAAACACAAUCAGGUUCAUUCAAUCUGUUGGGGAAACACAAUCAGGUUCAUUCAAUCUGUUGGGGAAACACAAUCUAUUGUGAUUCUAGAUCAGUAACAAAUAAUUAGUGACUUGCUACUGUCAUUCAUUCAUUAAUCAAACCAGAUCAUUAACCAAACCUGCUACUGCCAUUCAUUCAUUUUGCACUACAGAAACCAGUAACAAAAUUUUCAAUUCAUUCAUUUUGCACUACAAUUCUUGUCAGUAAAUCUAGCUAUCAAGUAACCAAACCUGCUACUGUCAAAACUGCCACUAAGGUUUAAAAUCUAUACCAUCACCUCUAUCAUAUGGCAGGGAGCCAAACCAAAUUAAAACCUAAACAAGAAUACACAACUAAGAGUAAAACAACGAACUUACCUUGAGAAUCGACCACAGAUGACAGUGCGACGGGACACUGAACGGCGACGGCGACACUGAACGGCGACAGUGUCGGAGUUCGAGAUGAAAGUGAAGGUGACAGGUUCGAUUGGUCACAUGUUGGGCGGCGAUACUCACUGCAUUUAGGGAUUCGGUGAUGCAUUCAAGUGUGAGAGAAGGGUUCAAGUGUGAAGGAAGGGUUAGACACUUAGGGAUUUAGGAAUGAGAUUCAGUGAUGGAUUCAAGUGUGAGGGAAGGGUUCAACACUUAGGGAUUUAGAGAAGAAAUGAAAACUUAGGGAUUCAGAGAGAAAUCGUGCUUUUAGGGAAAUUGUGCUUUCAAUUUUAUUAACGAUUAGAAAUCGUGCUUUUACGAUAUGAUUUCAUAAAUAAUAUUAAAAAUUUUAAAAAUAUCUUAGCGUCGACCCAUCCGUCGCUAACUAUUAAAAUAAAAAUUAUAAAAUUAAAUUAAUAAAUUAGCGUUUGUUUUAUUUUCGUAACGUCGGCCACUCCGACGCUAAUCGAUAAUAAAAUUGAAAAUUGAUUUGGUGUAGUUGCGUCGGCUUGGCCGACGCUAAGUCGACGUUGCGUAGCGUCGGAAUCAGAGGCCGACACUACAAAUGGCAGCUAAAAAUCAAUUUUCUAGUAGUGUUAUGCUCUCAUGAUUUUGUCGUAUAAGGUUUCAACAUAUACAUAUAAGUGACAAUAACCUUAUCAUUGUGCCAAGGUUUGCUCUGGGUGCAACAGAUGUGGACCAAUGGAAAACAUUUUAAGGAAGUUUAGAAGUCAAAACACAAUAGUACCUCAUCUGAUCUUAAAUAUUAAUAAAAUUCAUAAUAUAUUUCAUCUAAAUUUGAACUAAAUGCAUUUAAAUUUUUGUUUAUAUUUAAAUUAAAAAAAACCAUAUACAUAGAAAAUAUAAAGUUGGAUUGGUGUUAAUCCUCGUAUCUCGUAUGACGAAAUUAUAAAAUGUAAAAGCACUAAAUUGUAGUUUAUCAAAUUCCACAACAAAAGCACACUGUAACAUGAGCAUUUGGAUGUAGUGUAAUUUGAAUGUAAAACCAAAAAUACCUUAAACAAACUAGAGAUAGGAGUUUUUUCUACUCUUUUUGUUUAAAGACUUGAAUCCUUUUGAGGUUAAAACAAUACUAUCUUCUAAUUGUUUCAAACUUGGGUGAAUAUUUGUAGGAUGAAUAAAUAAAAAAUACACCAUAAUAAUCCAUCUUACAAAUUUUGUAUCAUCAUAUAUAUUAUUAAAAUUCGUCUCACUCGUAUUGAAAGAUUAAGUUCAAACAUUAAAUUAAUCAGAUGUAUUUAGAAAUAGCUUACCAAGAUAAAAAUUUGGCAAUUUCUUAAAAUUUGCAAGAAACAAAGGAAUAUGAUCAAACACAAUUUACAUUAGAACCUCAAAAUUAAACAUACAACAUUAGAAAAAAAAAAAGCGCACACAAAAUUGAACAUCUAUUAGUCUUCAAACCUAAAACUUUGCCUUAUAAAUAGUAUACUAAAAUUCCAUUAUACAUAAUGAUCCGAUUAAAUACAUGUUUAGUAAAAAUCACGACCAAGCGCUGCGAUUUUAAAAAAAACUAUACAUUUUAACUUGAAUAAAAUUAUCGCAACUAACAGUAAUUCUGAGAAAUUUACCGUGCUUUUGGGUUCAUGAUUUCAGAGAAAACACUUUCCUUACUAGUAUUAAAAUAACUAUAGCUUUGCUCUCUACUAGCACUAGUUGUAGUACUCUCACUCACUUGACUACUCUUAUUUAAAUCUGAAAUCAGUCCCACACUGGUCCCAUAACUGGACAUGUCAUCAUUUUCCUCUUUUUCUCCUGCCACGUCAUCAUUUUCCUCUUUUCCUCCUGCCACGUCAUCAAUUCCAACAUCAACAACACCACGCUCACGUUGUUCCGCACUCUCUUGUAACUGUAACGCAAACUCCAACAUCCAAACGACGUCGUUCAUUGACGGCCUAUGCGUUCCAUCGUCCAACAAACAACUAACCGCAAUCUCACCGAAUUUUCUCAAACACUCAGGUGCUAUGCUUCCCUUUAUUGCAGGGUCCACUAUACUCCCGAGGGUCCCAUUUUUAUAACAAUGGCUCGCCCAAUCAGCAAGUGACACCUGUUUCUUUUCAGCAGUUCUAAUCAGAGGCGGUCGAGCACAGAGUAUCUCAAAUAAAACCACUCCAAAAGAGUACACGUCAGAUUUCUCAGUUAAACGCUGUCGUUUAUAAUACUCAGGAUCUAAAUAACCAAUGCUCCCUUUAACAACAGUGCUAACAUGGGCCUUAGACAUACCAAUAGGCCCAACUCUCGAAAGCCCAAAAUCAGAAACCUUCGCAACCCAUUUCUCAUCUAACAGAAUAUUCGUCGUUUUCACGUCGCGGUGGAUAAUAGUGUGUUUUGCUCCUGUAUGAAGGUAGUGUAACCCACGCGCCGCACCUAUUGAAAUCUGCAACCGUUGUUUCCAUGAAAGUGAAGGAUUUUCUGUUUUGUAGAGAUGGUCGCGUAACGUUCCACGCGCCAUGAAAUCGUAGACGAUUAUCAUCUCAUUAUUCUCGUUGCAGUAACCGAUUAAAGAAACGAGAUGAAGAUGACGAAGCUUCGAUAACAUGUCAAUCUCGUUGAUGAACUCGUUUUCGCCUUGUUGUGAACCCGGUUUGAGCCGUUUGAUAGCAACCGCUGUUAAACCGUUGUCGAUGUAGCCUUUGUACACGUGGCCGAAUCCUCCAACGCCGACGAUGAAGAGUUCGUCGAAGUUGUUCGUGGCGGCGCGAAUCUCGAGGAGAGAAAAGUAACGGCAUAGAUCCGACGGUAGAGAUGAGUUUUGAGUGUUGGACGAUUUCGUCGUUGCAAACGACAGUGGGCCCCACUUUGAAGUUCGAGAAGACCUUUUUGAAUCCUUCGCUGUGGUUGUUAUAGUAGUCGUUUCUCUUUUUCUUUUCAAAACGAAGAAAACGACGACAAGGGAAAAUAAAACGACGCCGAAUAUAACUCCCAAAACGACACCAAUAAUCGUCGUUCCACUUAUGCUUUUGUUGCUCUUUUUCGGUUUCGGAUCUUGAAUCGGGUGUUGGACCGGGUCCGGGUUAGGUCCAGCUAGGCUCUUUAAAGUGACGUUGCUGAUCUUGAAAAUUUCAAGUCCAUUUAAAAACGGGUCACUGAAUAUGGUUAUGUGAGCGUUAUCAACGGGAUGCAUUUGAAUGGAGAGGUGUUCUGUUUUGUUACCGUUAUUCGGAAUGAAAACGACGUAGUUUUUUUGCACUGCAAGCCCUUUUUGAUUUGAGGUCCAACUCAUGACAUCAGCAUUUUGUUCUGCCAUGAGUCCUUGUAAAUAGAUGUUGAAGACUCUAUCGCCUACGUUAGUUAUUUUGGGGUCGAGUUCACAGAAGUGGAGCCUGAUCAUGUAAUAGAAGCUAGAAUCAACAGGGAAUUCCCAAGUUAGGUUUAAGAGUUUGUUGAGAGUUCCGUUGAGGCCCAUCUCACGUGCUGUUCUGUAGAUGUCUUUAGGUGCCACGUAAUCAGGAUUUACUGUGAUGUUCCUCGUACCUGAUACGUCUGCUGGGAGAGAAUCGCGUGAUGUUGGUGUUCUUAAAUAGUCUUCGUCGUUGCCGUUCCAUUUUCUGAACAAGCCUGUGUCUUGCUUGGCUGAGAUUGCUUGCCCUCCAACUCUGAUCCUGUAAUCUGUAAUUAUAUAUGCAUAAUUUAAGAACAUACUUUUAAGACAUAAUUAUUUGUAUAUUAGAAAAAAAUAGUGAACAUGUAUUUCUUAACGAUUGGUUUUAUUUAUUUAAUUUUUUUCUUUUUCAAAUGAGUUUGGGUUAAUCGAGUUACUUAAAUAUUUUUAUUUUAUGAUGGUCUAAUUAGCUAGAUUUUUUUUCUAAAUACAAUACAAUAAAAAUCACGAAAUGCAAGUGAAACACAUUUAUUCAAGAAUUAUUUAUAGUAGUAUAAUAAAGUAUGAUUCGAAGGAUAUGUAUACUAAUUUUAUUACACUAGCCUCUACUGUGUAAAAUUUACUUAUUAUGAUAUUUAUUUUUCAGGAAAAAGAUCAAGUAUCGCAUAACCUAAUGAUCAAAUUUAAAAUGUGUCAAGAGCUGAUAUAAAAAACUAUCACCAAAUCACUUAUCAAUUAUAAAAUCUAUUCAUCAAAUUACCUAUCAUUUAUAUUCCCGUGUCCAUCUCAAUCUCAAUAAUGUCCAAGGUAUAUUGAAAAACACAAAUACAAGAAUACAGAUAACAACACAAUAAAUUUAUAAAAAGUGUCAUAUUUAACCUCAUUUUGGAAGUAUUAAUAGUAACUAAUAUAUAAAUCUAAUAUAAUACUAAAAAUUAUUAAUUAUAUCACUCAUCAUUUGUAAGAUGUAUUUUAAAAAACAAAAUUUUUAACUAAAAAAAAUUUAAAUGAAUUAAAUUUCAGUGACUCAUCAAGAUUAUGAGAGACCUCCCAUCUCAAAGAAAUACUUAUAUAUCAGCACAAAAAGAUGAUCACAUCAAUACUGAGAGUUAAACCAACAAUCUUAUGAAUGUGAUUCAAUAACCAACUUAUAUUGACUUAUAAAAAACUUGAGAAAAUAAAAUUUAAAAUAAAUUUAUAAAAAGUGAUAUCUCUUCUAGCAUCAACAAUGGAGCUCUCCAAAUUAAAUGUUUUAAUUACAGUUCUAGUUCACUAUUUUUACCAAUUUAUGAAAUUGAUUUUCUAUUUUAAAAAUUGGGUGUUUUGGUCUUUUAUUAUGAUUUGUUAAUUCAAAAAUAACAAUGUGACAUGCAUUAAAUAACAUAAUAUAUGAUACGAUAAUAUAGAAUGAUUAUCACUCAUGAAAUUCAAUAAAACUCUAUACUAAUUCAACUUCAGAAUUUUUUUUAAUUUUUAUAAUUUAAUUAAUGACAUAAAUAAUUAAUGCAUCUAGAUAAUUAUAUAUCAUAAAAUCAUAUAACGUCACUUAAAAUAUAUCAAAUUGUCAUUUUUUUAAUUCAAAAAUACGAAGAAUUGACCAAAACGAUUUACUUUUAAAAUUAAAAGAUCAAUUCUGUAAAUUAAUAAAAAAAAAUUAAAAAAAAACCAAUAUUAUAAUUAAAUAUUUUUAAUUAUAAUGUUUAAUAAACAUUAUUCUCUCCAAUUUAACAUUUCAAAAUUUUUUACUAAACAAAUAUCACCAAUUAUUUUAUAUCAUUAUACUUCAACAAUACGACAUGGAUGACCUUAUCUUACUAGGUGGUCAAGUAAAAAUGAGAAUGAGUUUGCCUUUAAAUAAAACUAAUAUUUCUAUAAUUUAUACACUCAUUUGAUAUAUGAUCUACGAGUAAAUAUUGGUAAGUUAAUUUGUUAAAUACCUUUUGUACCAAAAAAAAAAAAAAAACAAAAACAAAAUACUUGCUGAUUACCUGUCUCUAGAGCAAAAGUGGUUUGAAGAUCGUAUUGGGAAAUGGUGGGCCCCACCACAAGUGAAAUUCCAUUAUCAUUAGAUGAUGUAUAAUAAAGAUCACUAGGCAUAGAUAAGACUUCAAUUCCAUUGAUGAAAGCAUAAUUGUUAGAGUUUCCUCCACUUGGAAUAAAACUCAAAUCAAGCCUUUGAUCAUCAUCAUCACCAACAUUAAUAACAUAUUCUUUGAAUAAAGUACCAACACCUUCAACAUCAGCGUUAAGUGAAGCAUUAAAAUCCUUAAGAAGUGUGAAUCCGUUAGAUUCAACGGUGAAAAAAGCAUCAUAACGGUUGAAAUUACCGUUAUAAUUUGAAGGGUAGAAAAAAAGACGGAGAAAUUUUGGACCUUUACCAACGGAGAAAGAGUGAUUGAAUUGUUCACGUGACAACCUUGCUGUUGAAUAAGGGUUUUUGUUUACUGAAGUUGGUGUUUGUUGUGUUGUUGUCCCUAAAAUUGAAACAGAAAGUGUUUUCAAAAGUUUUGAGUUUGUGUCACCUGUCCAUGUUCUUUCUCCGUCGGUAGAGUUUCCUGUUGUACCACAAUUGAGGGUAAAACGGUCAAUUGGGUCGUAGGCUUGGAGGUGGAGAAGGGUGAGGGAAAAGUAGAGAAGGGUUGUAAUUGUAAUUGUAAUUGUUUUGAAGAUGAUCAAUGAUUUCAUGUUUUUGUUUUUUUGUUGAGAGAGUUUGUGGUGGAAUGAGAGAAGUGGAAUUGUGAAGAGUGAAGAAGGGUUUGUUUGUGAUGAUGAUAAGAAUUUUUGGGUUGAGUUGAUUGGUAGUGCUGAGGUAGAGAAGAGGAAAGUUCUUGGUCUUUACUAAAAACUUAAGAUUAUUGCAAUUAGCAAAUUAUUUAUAUUAUCUCAUUAUAUUUAAUUUAAUAUAUAUUUUGUGUAUGAAUGUUUUUAUUUCAACUAAAAUAUAUAAGAUUUUAAUUUACUAAUUUUUAAAUUUGGAUUUUAUUGUCUUAGUUUCACAAAUUUUAAUAGUCUCUACUUCACAAUUCAGUUUUAAAAUUACAUAUUAUUUUAAUUGAAAUAAAAUACAUAAUUUUAAUUGAUAUUUUAAGAUUAAAUUUGAUAAUAAGACAUUGUUUAUUUGAACUACAAAGAUAGACCUUGUUGCAACUUAUUUUUUUCUUUUGAGUUUAUUGAUUAUAUGUAUAUCUAUGUUUUAUCUCAAAUAAUUGUUUCUAAUCUUAAUUCACAAUAUAGCAUUUGUAAUCAGUAUGACAUGUUAUAAAAAAUAAAUUUAAAUUAAAUUAUAAAAAAAAUCUUAAAAUUUGUAAAAUAAAAAGGUUAAAAUUCAAAACCAAUACAAAUCAGUUUAUAUACAAAGUUGUUUUACUCAAUUUCUAUACUUCAUAUCAAUAAGAAAAAUAUAGUUAGUAAUUCAACAUAAAAUCUAUAUUAAAAAUAUUUUCCCCCUAAAAUGAGUGGUAGUAUUUCUUUGACUUGUUCAGCUUUAAAAAGGAAAACCAUAGCAUGCUAUGCUAUUGACUAUUGACUUAGACACAAGAAACAAAAAGGUCAGUGUAUUUGUUUUGUAAUUAAUAAAGACGUCACUAAUCCAUACUGUAGUGUCAUGAAUGAAUUGAAAAGAGAUAUUCCACGAAAAUGUUUGAAUGAUUAUAUUUUGUAGAACUGCUGAGAAUAUUUUAUUUUUUAACACUUACUUUAAACUCACUUUUUUAUUAAAGAAAAUUAAUGAGUUAUCAUAUUUUGUAAAUGAGUAUCUCGUUAAAUAUUGAUAUUUGUAUGAAUUUCAUUCAAUCUAAGAGUGAAUAUUAAAAUAAAUGUUAAAAAGAAAAUAUUUUUAAUACACCUUUUAUAUUUUUAUGCUUUGGUGUAUUUUUUUUAAAGACUAAAAAAUAUUUUUAUUUUUUUUAAAGAUUAAAUUGGUCAUUAAGAAAUAUUGAAACACUCAAUUUAAUCUUUAAAAAAAAUAAAAAAACUUGUAGUCUUUAAGAAAAAUAAAUCGAAUCAAAUUAGUCCUUAUGUGAAUCACAAUUAAAAAAUUGAGUUUUUUUUGUUAACUUGUCAGAUAAUUUCCAACUUGAUUAUUCCACGUGUAAUUUAUAUAAAGAGGAACAAUUAGGUCGUUGACAAUAGUUAAAAAUAGACAAUUAAGUUCUCGACAGGGACUCUAAACUUGUUCAAUUAAUCACCGUUAAAUACUUGAUUGUCUAUUUUCAAUUAUUGUCAAUAAAUUAAUUGUUUAUUUUUAUAGAAUUUACAUGUGAGACAAUCAAGUUGAUAAGUAAUCAGAUAAAUUAAAAAAAAAAACUAAUUUUCUAAAUAUAGUUCAUAUAAGGAUUAAUAUGGCCUGAUUUAUUUUUCAUAUGAAUUAAAAAGUGUUUUUAUUUUUUUCAAUAACUAAAUUAGAUUUCUCAAAAACUUUUAGGGACCAAAGUAGACCUUUAUUAUUAUUUUUUAAAAUACUAAAUUACAUUAUAUUAAAAACAAACACCACACAUAAAGAAUAAGAGAAAAGUGUACAUUGCCUCCAUUACUAAUUUUUAUUAUAUAUAAAUAUAUAAUAUGAGAAGUGCCAGUAACACUUCACUGUAACACUUACUUUUUGAUUGAGUAAAAAUAGUGAGAUUGAGACCUAUAUAAAUUUCAUUCAAUAAAAAAGUGUCAGAGUGAAUGUUAAAAAGCAAUAUUGCGAUACAAUAUACACUUUGAUCUUGGUGAGGUAAGUGAGACUUAGUCUUUGAAGUAUAUAUAUAUUGCAUCUAUUCCCUACUAUAAUCAACUGAAUCUAAUUAAUCAUUUAAGUUUAAUAAUUUAAUUAGAAGUCGAAUAGUUCAAAUAUUUUGUUUUAAUUUGAUUUGAAGUGAACUAAUUUUAAUUAGUAGUUUGUGUCUCACAAAUAGUUUUUAGAAUUAAACUCCAAUUGCCAAUAAUUAGAUUUUUUGGUUUAGAAAUUACAAUAUAUAAAAUUUAUAAAUAAUAUUAAAUUAAUUUAUAUACACUAAUACAAUAAAAGAAAUUUAUACAUAACUAUUAUUAAUUUAAUUUAUAUAUUCAACUAAUAUACACAUAUUUUGCGCAUACAUGUAAUAAUUAUAUAUAAGUAUAAACUUUUUUAUGGUGAAAAUGUAUAUAAAUUAAACUCAUAAGUAAUUAUGCAUUGCUUCAUACUUUUGUUUUGUAAUAUUUAUCUUCUUAUUAUGCAUUGCUUCGUAUAAAAAAUGAAAAAAAUAAUUAUUUUUAUGAAUUAUUCAUGCACAAUAUAUCUAUUUUAAUUUUUGUGAUUGAAUUUUUAAUAUUAGAUGCAAUAACGAAAAUUUAAUAGGGUAAUUGCUCACCCUAUCCAUCAUUUUUGUUCACAAUAUCUAAAAUACACUACCUUGAUAAAAUAGCAAAAUUUUAGAGGAGGGAGGGGUGUUUGAGUAACCAUCAAUAAUGGAGAUCAAAAUCAAUUGGGCCCAUCCCAUAAAAAUUUGUUAGGCCCAAAUGCACGGACUAGAGCUGACCACAGUGGGCUUGUAGAUUUGAAAAUGGCAAUCAAAACAUGAAAAUUAGAUUUUGUACUACCUAAUUAAAUUUGAUUUAUUCCUAUAUAAAAUAAAAUCUAAUGUUAUUUAUUUCAUUUUCAUUCAUUUAAUUGUAAAAAUACUGCUCUAAAAUAUACUCUAUUAUAAAAAAUUUAGAUAUUUAGAUAUUUAAAUUUUAAUUAACACUAUCAGAAAUUUUAUUUUCAAAAAAAUUCAGUAUGCAAUAUUUUUUUUUAAAUUGUCAAAAGAUUCUAGAUUUUUUAAAACUCAAAAUUUUCGAUAGUGUUAAUUUGUGUACCAUGAAAUUUUUGGUAGUUAUUUACUCCCUAAAAAAUUAAGUUUUGAUAAUUUGGAUAGUUAAUUUUAUUUUACCGAAAAUUUCAAAGUUAUGAAGUAUCCGUUAUGAAAAUUUUUAAAUUUUAAUUUUAUUUUUGAAGCCGGGAUGGAAAAACACAAUUAUGUAUAGAUUUGAUUGAAAUAUUUAUAACUGAUCAAAUUUUUUAGUCACGAGAAAUUGUCCUAUCAUGGACAAGAGAGGUUGACCGACAUAAUCGAAUAGUUGUUAUCAUUACCUGUUCUGACAUAGAUACCGAAAAGAGAGAAAUAAAGUCAAAAUUAGUUCUCAGUUGCGAUAGAGGUGAAAAAUAUAAGUUAAAUAAGAAUAGCUCAUUGACUUCAACUAAAAAGUGCGAUUGUCUAUUUAAACUUAGAUAGAUACCAUCGAAAAAUGGUGAGAGAUAAAUUAUUAGUUUAAUGUGUGAACUUCACAACCAUGAGUUAGUGACUACUUUUGAAAAUAAUGCAUUUAUGGGACGCUUAAAAGAAGAAGUAUCACGUUGCACUGAAACACAUAUUGUCAUCUUUGAGAGAUCGAGAUAAAGAGAACAUGUCUAAUAUCUCUCAAAUUUAUAAGUGACGAACCACAUACCGAGAGAAUUUGGAAGGACUCAAAACUAAUAUGCAACAUCUAUUGAAGUUACUUGAAGCUGAGAAGUAUGCUUGUUGGAGUAGAACCCAUGAAGAUUCCAACAUUGUGAGAGACAUGUUUUGGAGGCACCCAUACUCCAUAACUUUGUUGAACAUGUUCCCUCUUAUUUUGAUCAUGAAUAACACCUACAAUACGAACAAGUAUACAUUACUAUUGUUUGAAAUUGUUGGUGUAACUUCAACUAGAUUGACGUUCAACGUUGUCUUUGCUUACAUGGACUGUGACCGUCAAGAAAACUUUAGUUGGACAUUAGAGAAGUAAAAAUAAUUUUUUUCUUUAAAUACCUCAUUUUCUCAGGUUAUUUUGACUGAUAGAGAACUUGCUUUGUUGAAUGCAACUGAAGUUGUAUUUUCAUCUUUAACAAAUUUACUUUUUCAUCUUUGUAUCAACAAAAAUGUUGGAGACAGAUGCAAACAAUAUAUAUUGAAGAAGGACAUGCAUAAAUCUAUUCUAGUUUUUUGAAGGAAAAUUAUGUAUUGUUAUGAAGAGAAGGAGUACUAGAAACUUUUAUAAAGGUUUAAGCAAACAUGUAUCGAUAACAUUAUUUUCUUUGAUUACGUUAGAGAUACAUGGUUGAUUCGUCAUGAGGAAAGAUGUGUUAGCAUGGACCAAUCAAAUGUUGCAUCAAGGAAAUACUACAACAAAUAGGUAUGUCAUUAAAACUUUGCAUUUGGUUUUAUAUUUAUACAUGUUUAGGAUUAAGCAUGCAUGUUUGAUAUAUUUUUUAUUGAAAUAUUAUUUUGUUUUUUGUUUUUUAUUUUUAUGUUUGAAUAUUAGAGUUGAGUCUGCUAAUUGGUCAUUAAAGAGAUUUUUGGAACAUAGUAAAAGAGAUUUUUGUAAGGUACAAGAUGAUAUGAAUGAGAUGUUGAAGUUGCAAUUAAGAUAAAAUGGUCAUUUGAGACAAGUAAGAGUCAUAAAGAACAUAUACACAACAAACCAUUCUAUGAGAAUUUGACUUGAGUGUAUCAAGGAAAACCUUAGCUCAUAUUAUUGAUGAAUACAAGAGAGUCAACUAUAUUAGUAACAACAAAGCCGCAAAUGGUUGUAUACUUGGAAACUCUCAUAGAUUACUUUGUGCAUGUGAGUUGAUACAAUACAAGAUGAAAGAUGUUUAAAUCCCGUUGAAUGCAGUUCAUUUACAUUGAAGGAAAUUAACCAUGAAUAGUGGUUUAGAGGAAGAAAAUAAAAGUUAGAACUCAGAUCAAUACCAAUAUUAUGACUAGUAUCAUUACCAAGACCAUCAUUAGCAGCAUGAUACCAACAAUAACAUUAUGACUAGGAUCAAUACCAACAUCAACAAUACAGCUAAGAACGUCAAAAUUGGGAAGAGGGCACCACCACAUCAAAACAGGGAGGUGUUGCAGCAACAUAAGAGAUCAGGAUGAGAUAUCCUAUAGAACCACUAUAAAUAUCCCUCAACACACUCAUGUGGAUAUGUUUAUAGAUGCAAUUUAGUACAUAGGGAUCAAAUAGCGUUCUUCUACAUACUCCAUUCAACAUCAUGAACAACAGCACUAACAAUGUAGGAGGAAUGUACUGGGUAUACCCAAACUGUUGUAGAUACAUCUCUGGAAAAUAAAUACGAUACCAUCAUGGAGCACCAAUGAAUGUACCUGUAAACAUCGACAUAGAUUAAAUACCUGUCAUGGCAUCCUCAUGGUAACUUGGCGUCCAUAUCACAUCAGUAGGUCUCAAAGCAUCCAACUUUACUUUGUUAACGAGAGGUGUGAAUAAAUUUUGAUAACAUGGUAUGCCCAACAUACCCCUAACAUUGUCAAGAGUAAUAGUCAUUUCACCAAAUGACAGGUGAAAUAAAUUAGUCUCUGAGUGUCAUCUCUUAGCAAAAGUAGAUAUAAGAUUACCAUCUAUCAUAUACAAACUACAUAUUUGUAGAGGACGUAACCCUGAUUUAGUAAUCCAUUGAUCUAUCUCAGUAGAUAAUGAAAAAUUAUCCGACGUAUGUACAAAUUUUGAAACAUAUAGAGAUAAAUAGUGAAUUUCAAUUUACUAGAAAUUCCAAUUGAAUUCAUUAUCCGAUAUCUCAUUUUGUUUUUUCACAUUAGUUUGUUAACUCUUAGAAGUUUUGAUCAAUACUCUUAUUUUUUAUCAAAAAUGGUCCAUUAUAUUGUAAAGGCUACAUCAAUCUGAUCUCAUUUUUCGCUUCAAGAUUAUCAUUUAUUUUUCAAAAGUUAUACCAAUCUAAAACAUAAAAAAAUAGAUCAAAUAAAACCUAAAUUAAAUAAACGACAAAAACACAUUCUUUUUUAGAUUUUUGUAUUUAUCAAAAUAAAAUGAAAUAAGUAUGAAAUGAUAUGAUAAGGAUAUAAAUUUAUUAUGAAUGCCAAUUAUGUUUAUGUUUUUUCUUGAAAAUGUUGAAAAAAAUCAAUUAAAAUUGGAUACGAAGAACUAUAUUAAAAUGCAAUGAAUAGUAGAAUUUUUGUAAGAUUAGGGUGUACUUUUUGAAACAAAGUUCUUAGUAAGUAUUUUUAUUAGUGUAAAAAGUAAUACCCCAAAAAGAAGGACAAUGCAUACACUAUGUUAGGUGUGGUAGAAUGAAUACAAUUCCACAUCACAUGUAUUAUUAUUAGUUUAUUACCGACCCCAACCUAAACUGAACCAAACCCAAUAUUUAAUGUCACACAUGUUUAAUGGACUUAUUCAAAAGGCAUGUCAAUGUAGUGUCAGAUAAGUAUAAGCAAAUGAGGUAAUAAUUUGUUUAUUAAUUAUUUUCCCUUCAAGAUGACGCAGCAUAAAGUAUUUAUUCAAUUAUACAGCACCAUUUGAAGGUAAGGGCACGUUCAUAUCUUAACUUGAUAAUAGACACAUAAUUAAUUAUGAAAUGAUGCAUGUGGGUGGUGGGCAAAUCAUGUAUUAUAUAUUAAUUGGGGUAGAUAUUAUUAAUCAGACACAUGAUAAAAUAAGACAUUAUCAUAUUUUUAUCGUAUGAUAUCUUUAUCUAAUUCUAUUAUGAUAUUUGUUUUUAUUAUAUCUUAAUCAUUAAACAAUAAUGAAAAUUUUAACAUUUAAUAUUUUAAAAUUUUAUUUUAAAUGAUAAAAGAAAGUUUGUGGAUAAUAAAAAGAGAUUAACUUUGCUAUUAUAAUGUUAUGGUAAUUUUUUUUACACUGUCCAACAAAUUACGAGUGACUUUAAAAAAUAAUAUGAUCAUUACCCUAUUUUGACAAAUUACCAUAGAUUGCGGAAUUACGCGGUAAAUUAUAUGGACUAACAAUCCAUUCAACCGACCAAAACUUCUUACAACGAGUUUCAUCUCUAUGAAGAGUUUGUUUUUAAAAAAUGACUUUGAAGAGCAAAACGGAAUCUAUUUGUUUUGCUAAAUAAAAAAGGAAUAUAUUUGGAAGAAGAAAAAGUCAUAAAAAACCUGCUUAAUUAGUUUUGACUCUCUUGACCGUUUUAUUUCCUCCUAACUUAAAAAAAUAGUGUUAUCUUUUUAAUUAAUUUUAUGCUUUAAAAAAUCUUCAAAUCUUUAAAUGAGGUGAUUAUUAAGAAAUUUGGGAGAUUAAAUUUGAUUUUUAAAUUAUCAAGAUAAUUAAAAUCAUGAAUGCAAAUGAAAAAUUGAUUUUUAUAGUAUUUUAUCCUUUUGUUAUACUUUUUAAAAAAUUGAAUUUUAAAAAUAAAAAUUUCAAAUGAAAAUUUAGUUCAAAUAUAGUUUAUCCUAAAAUUUUUUAUAUAUAUUAAAUUUUACAAAAUAAUUAAAAUAAGAAAUUAUUUUGAUUUUUUUUUUCAUACAAAUCAUUUUUUAAAAUAAUACUUUUAAAAAAAAUGAUUUUUGUCAUUUUAAAAUAUCUAAUAAUAAAAUUUGAAGUAAUAGAAUGUCAAAACCCUAAAAAUGGAUGCAGAGUUGGGUUGUCUUACAAAUUGGGGACUCUACAAAUCGUGAAUUCUUUUUUUAAGAAGAAUUAUAUUUCAAAACACAAACAACACAGUAGAUUGUGAAUAAAAAAUUAUUUCACUAUAUGUGUUCCUAUAUAAAGGAAAUAUAUAAUAAUAAUAAUAAUAAUAAUAAUAAUAAUAAUAAUAAUAAUAAUAAUAAUAAUAAUAAUAAUAUUACAUAAAUGUAUUGGUUAGAAUAUUAAUCCUCAAAUAAAUUUACUAAUUUUCUUUGAAGAAAUAGCCAAACCAGUGGUGGACCCUCCCUAACCAUUAAUUUCAUGACAGAAUGUCUAGAUCAAUAAAAGUGUCUGUUUCCAAAAUUUCUUUUUCACCGGUUCAAACUUAUAAAAGUCUCUACUAACUUUUGUCUAAGGUGAAGGGGUAUAUUUUUUUCUUUAACGGGUGAGAUUAGAUUUAACAUUACUCUAUUGUAUUUUUAGGGUUGAAUUUAAACUUAAGAAUUUUGAUUAGUUAAAUUAGAAUAGAUUUUUGUCAUAUCAUCUGAGAGUUGUUGGGUAAGGUAAUUGUUUUAAAAGGUCAUGCUAAAAAAAAAAAAAGAAAUAAUGUCUUAAGGGCACAUGUUAAAAGAUUUUAUAAAUAAUAUUUAUAUUUUAAACAAGUGAAAUACAUAAUUUUUGAGAAAGAAAAAUAUACAAUUUAUAAGAUAAAAUUUGUAUUUUUAAUAUACAAACAUGUGCAUUUGACCAUUCUCUUUUUAAAAAUAUUCUAAAGCACAAUUUUAAAAAUAAUCAUUAUAAAAUCAUAAUUCAAAUGAUGUUAGUGUUUAUUAUUAUUAUUAUCGGUAUGAACGGUAUAAUAUUCAUCCGACUAUAUUGAUGAUUAAUAAAUUUUAGUAGAAGAAUUUGAUUGAUCAUACUAUAUUAAAUAAAGUAGCACUUCUCAAUCACAUUUAUAUCAUUGAGACUUAAAUUCAAAUCUUGAAUGAGAAUGUAAAUUGAGUUCUACUCAUAAUAAUAUAAUAUUAGAUUCGAUAAUCAAAUCUUAGUUGUUUUUUUAACAAGAAUAAAAUCAAAUCCUUUUUUUUAGGGGAAUCAAAUCAAAAUCUUAGUUAAUCCUUCCACGACUUAUAUAUUGAUAUAUCUUUCCUUUUUUUUUGUUGUUGUCGAGUUUUUUCUCCUUAUUUAUAUGGUCUCACAACUAGAGUCAUUUUCAAAACUAAUUUUCUUACACAAUUUUCAUCAAUGAAAACCACAAUGACAAGAAUAAGUCUAUUGUGGUUCAUACUUUUGAUGAUGAUAUUUUGUAUCUUUGUAACUCAUGCUUAUAAGGGUAAUUUACCCCUAAGGAAAGUUUAUGGUGCAUUGAAGGCCUUUUUCACCAAACAUGAUUCCAUUCCUUCACCAACUUAUUCCCUUUCACCUUCUCCUUCUCCUAUGCAACCACAGGUAAUUUAUAAAUUAUGUUAAUACCUUUUGAUACCCUUUUCAAGUAUGUCAUUAGCAUGGUUUUAAAUAGUCAUCAUUGAUAUUAUGGACAAUUGCGGUCAAAUGUGGUCAAUGCACCUAAAUUGCGAUCACGUUGCAGUUUUGAGAUUUGAUAACAUAAAAAACCGUUACGUGGCGGUUUAGAUUGCAAUCUCAGACCUUUAUUUGAAACUCUGAUCAUCGGUUAAACUUAUAUAUUUAGUGCAUGUUUGAAUUCACAGUAAAAUUAACAGAAUCACAGUGAUCUGUCGUAAUUUUGAAAAAACUACACUUUAAAUACACUUAGCCUCAAUUUAGUCACUUUAUUUCCAACGCAAGAUUGUGUUAACGAACAAUGUUAAAUAGUUUUCUGAAUUUUAUGCUAAUGCAGGAUACUAAAAAGAAACCACAUGUGUACCUUGUGACAUCUUAUGGUGCUGAUCCAACAGGAAAAUCAGAUAGUACUGAAGCUAUUCUUGCAGCCAUAGCAGAUGCUGCAAAAGGUCCAAGUAAAGGGUUCUUGAUGAAAGACAUUAUUAACCUUGGUGGUGCUGAGAUUAAUCUUCAAGGUGGAAACUACUUGAUUAGUAAACCUUUGCAUUUUCCAGUGGCUGGAGUUGGAAACAUCAUGGUAUGUUUGCAUAAUCCAUUUUGUUUUUAUUGAUCAAAUAAUUUGAUUUUUUUUUAACAAUUCUUAGAAUAAGAAGUUGCAGCAAAUCAAAGCAAGAUACUACAUUGAUUUAUUAAUUUAUUUUAUCUUGAGUGAAUAUUAGUCAUCUAAAAGACAUUAAAUUUGAGGAAAAAGAUGGUUAUAUCCUUUUUUUUUUUUUAUUCUCCAAAUACUCUACUUUGAAACAAUAUUUCUGGAAUGCCCUACUUUUUCGUUCCUUCAGGAAGUCGUUCCCUGGGGAAGCGACCUCUUGAAGAGGAAAUUUUUUAAUGCUAAUGGGGGGUCGUUUCCUGGGGAAGCGCCCUCCCACUGGGUUUUUUUUUUUUUUUUUCUCCAAAUACUCUACUUUGAAACAAUAUUUCUGGAAUGCCCUACUUUUUCGUUCCUUCAGGAAGUCGUUCCCUGGGGAAGCGACCUCUUGAAGAGGAAAUUUUUUAAUGCUAAUGGGGGGUCGUUUCCUGGGGAAGCGCCCUCCCACUGGGUUUUUUUUUUUUUUUUUAUUAUAACUAUUAAACUAACUUUAAAAUAUAACAAAAAAAAAAAAAAAAAGGAUAUAACCAUCUUAAACCCAUUAAAUUUGACAUCUAAGUUUAAUUUUAUUUUGUAAAUAUAAUGUUGAACAGAUACAUGGUGGAACUAUAAGAGCCACAAAGAAUUUUCCACAAAAUGGACAUUUAAUUGAUUUAUCAAACUAUGGUUCAACCUCACACUCCUACAAUUAUGAAUACAUAACUCUCAAGGAUCUGUUUCUAGACUCAAAUUUCAAAGGUGGAGGAAUUUCAAUAAAAAACUCACUAAGAAUCAACAUAAACAAUUGUUACAUAACACAUUUCAUCACAAGUGGAAUUUUAGUCCACAGUGGUCAUGAAACAUACAUAAGAAAUUGUUUCAUUGGACAACACAUUACUGCAGGAGGUAACAAAAAUGAAAGAAGGUUCUCAGGAACUGGAAUUAGCAUUCAAGGGAAUGAUAAUGCUAUCACUGAUGUUGUUAUUUUCUCUGCUGCUAUUGGAAUCAUGCUUUCUGGUCAAGCCAACACAAUUUCUGGUGUACAUUGUUAUAAUAAAGCUAGUGCAUUUGGAGGUACUGGAAUUUAUUUGAAAUUACCAGGUUUAACACAAACAAGGAUUGUAAAUUGUUACAUGGAUUACACAAAUAUUGUUGCUGAAGAUCCAGUUCAACUUCAUAUCUCAAGUAGUUUCUUCCUUGGUAAUGCAAACAUUGUUCUAAAAUCAAUCAAAGGUGUUGUAAAUGGUCUCAACAUUGUUGACAACAUGUUCAGUGGUUCAAAUCAUGGUGUUAAAAUUGUGAGGCUAGACCAAUCAAUUAGUCAUUUUAAUCAAAUUAAUCAAGUUUUUGUUGCUAGAAAUGUUGUUAAGGGUAUGAAUUUAAAGGCCACUUCAGCAAUGAUAUCUAUGCAUGGAAAUGGAACUUCAUGGAUUGUUGAUUUUAACAAAGUUUUGGUUUUUCCUAACCUUAUUAAAAAUGUUCAAUACUCUUUAAGUGCAAGUGGUAACAAAUUUCCUAAUCAUGUUCUUAGGAAUGUGUCUCACAAUAUUGUUGUGAUUGAAACCAAUGAGCCAGUUAAUGCAAAGGUUUUUGUAACAGUGGAUCAAGGUAAUUCAAAAUGAAUAUAUAUAUAUAUUUUUUUUUUAUGCUGGCAUGGCAAGAAAUUUGGUAUAGUAAUUUUUUUUUUACUUUUUUCUUUGCAUAACAAUAUUAGAUAUAAAGUAUACAAAAGAGAUUUUAGAUUUUAUGCUUCAAAGUUAUUAGAUACAUUAUACUGUAAGUAGUGGCAAAGGGUUAUUAGUCAAAUUAUUAUUUGGUUUACUAUGAAUUCUUAUUUACCAUUAUUAUAUUGCUUUGAUUAACCAUAAUCUAUGUAAAAUAUGUUGGUCAAUUUUUUAAGGUAUAUAUUAUUUUCAUUUAUGGUCACUUUUAUAUCUAAUAUUAACUAGUCAAAAUUAAUUUGUUAAACAAGAAAAGACAAUACAAUAGUGGCAAAUUAAAGAUUGGAAUGUAACAAGAGAAGUUUCCUCCCUCUAAAGUUGACUAAAGUAAUGCACCAUCUGAAUUAUUAAUAUUUUUAUCAAAUAUAAAAAAUUUAACUAUUUUUAUUCUAGUUAAUAAUAUCACUCCUAAAAUACCUUUCAAUUAAUCUUCGAAACAAAAAUAUCUCUUUAUAUAUAUAUAUAUAUAUAUAUAUAUAUAUAUAUUACAUUCAAUUACUCUUGUUUUUUUUUUGGAAUAAGUUCUACAAUUUUGAAAGUAUAAACUAAAAUUUUUAAUAAACAUAAAAUUAAAUAUUUUUAAUCAAAACAAAAUUAGUAUUGUAUUGACAUUAUUAUAAAAAAAAAAUUUAAAAGAGACUGAGUUCAGUACAAGAAACUGAUUUCAGCACAUGGCAAACCACCAUUUAAAUUUCAUCUAUGAAAUAUGUAUCUAAUAAUAUCUCGAAUAAAAUUACUUCCAAUAAAAGAAAUUUGUGGAAUAUAAAAUUAAUUGUAUAGUUUAUUAAUUUUCACUACCAAUUGAGCAAUAAUGGUAUUUAUUCUCUAUAUAUCGAAUUCGAUUCUCACGACAAAAAUUUCGUAAGUCCUAACUGGGAGAAAGGGAGAGGUUCAUGAAUAACAAUGACGGUGUAAAAGUACCGAUAAAAAACUAUGCUAAUUUUUAAGUUGGAAAAGGAGGAGCGAGAAGUCUGUAAAUAAUAGUGAUGCCACUGUAAUAGUAUCGAUAAAAACUCGUAAAUUUUUAGUUGAAGAAAAAAGAGACCGAGAAACCUGUAAAUAAUAUCGACAUUUGUCAAUUAAACUAGACUUUAUACCGACAUUUAUUUUUUUAUUAGUUUCUUUGUCACUAGUUAAUCUUGUUAGGUAUAUUUACCUUCUCCUGUUCUUUAGGCCACAUUGAUUGAUAGUGAAAGAAAUUUCGGCCCAUUAAUUCCUACAUCAUGUUGUUGAAGGACUAGAACCAGUUGACCAAAAAAUCCUUACUUACAUGUGACAUUUUUUUUGUUGACAAUUUACUUACAAGUGACUUAUUACCUCUACUUACAUAAGCCAUAAACAAAAUGUUGAAUUAAAACCUUUGGUGACAAACAAUGGUUAAUGUUGACUACUAUUAAAACACAUUGAGAAGAUGUAUUAUUAAUAACAUUUUUUAAUAGUUGUGGUUGUGGGUCACUAUUGGUAAUGCGCAACUGUCUUAUAAUGUCACACCCGUGGUGACCCACUUAAUAAUGGAGCAACAAGUAUACAAAUUCUAGCAUAUUAGGGUACAUAUUUGGAUCUCUGCACUGUUCUCUCUAGUUCAACCUUUACGGAUUUGAAUUUGCUCCAGAUCUUUAUUUCAAUAAUUUUUUUUUAUAAAUUGAAAAUUUGGUUGAAAUCUAAAUAGCAGAGUCAUUAACUCCAUGAAAACGGGUAGUCAUUAACAUAAUAAUUUAAUUGGUUAUUUUUAAGAUAAACAAAUGUUAAUAAACUAUUAUUACGUUAAUUUUUAGAGUUUAAACCCUUAAAAUUUGUACUUAAAACUCGUUUGAAGUGAUUCAAUUCACCAACAACAAUGUAAUUAUAGAUGAUUUAGUAUUUGAAUUGAUUAUUCAACAAUUGACUAAAGAGCACAAAGGUGAAAUGCCAAAAAAAAAUUGAAAAUCCAAAAGUAAAAAGGAAGCACAGCCAAUUGAAAAAAGCACACUAACAAAUUUAUUGGCUGCUUCAAGGCAGUCCAUAUCUUAACCUUAUCUUUAUGAGAGCGCCUCACAAUCAAGUCCCUACCUAUUGCAACCACCAUACAAUAAACUAAAUAAUAACAAUAAUUAAAACAAUAAAUAAAAUAUCCCACUAACCCAUUUCCCUUUCAUAAUUUUUAUAUUUAGGAGGUUAAUAGUUUUCAAAAAAAUUUAAUAAUAAAUUGUACACUUUUAUAUGAGAUGAUUUGAUAUUUUUUUAAUUUAAUCAAUCAGAAAUUGAAAAUUUAAAUUUAAUCUUAAAAAUGCAACAAUUUAAUUUUAAUUUUCGUUCAUUGUAAUCUUAUCUGAUUUAAAAGGUUAAUCUCUACAAUUAGUUUAGUUUAUACUAAAAGAAGACUAGUGAUAACAUACAAGACAAGUCAAUGCAUGUACUUUCCUCACAAAAAAACUUAAAAAAAAAAAAAAACCCAUAAUGUUAACAACCUAACAUACUCUCUUAUUGUUGGAUAUAUGUAAAAGAUUCCUUCAUUAUUUUAAUACAAAUAUAAGACAACUUGUUGAGACCAUUCACCAAAAAAAACUCUUCUUUCAUAGUCUUUGAGGAAAAAAAUAGAGUUCCAAAGAAGAAAAUGAAAAAGGGUAUUUUCCUAUUGUUCCUUAUCGUAUUGUUCCAAUUUAAUCUAAGCAAAUCAAGUUCAUUGAAGGUAAAGGGUUGUACCUCAGAAGAUUGUUUAAUCAACAAUGAUUUUGAUUCAGAAGAGUUUUCUUUUAGUUCUCAUGUAGCAAGAAUGCUUUAUGAGGGGAGUCAAAGUCAAACUGGUAAAACUGCUAAUAACAAUGCUGCUUCUGUUAAGUGUCCUACAAAUCAAGGCUAUCGUAGUUGCUUGCCUACUGCAACUGGUGGUACUCCUAACUAUAGAUGUGCUACUUACACUAGAGGUUGCAAAUAAAAAAUCAAUCUUUUGUUUCUUUCUUUUUUUUUUCAUUUUUGUUUUCAUUUUAAUAUAUCUAUAUAUUGCAAUAAUCUUUUGGACAAGUUUUCAUUUGUGUUUAAAUAUGAUUGUAUUGGAAAAAAAAACUGUCUUAAGCCUUCAAAUUCAAAUGGAAAGGGUCUCGUCAAUCUGGAGUUUGAUCGAGUGGUAAAUAAAUUUUGAUCAAUGAUUGUUUCGGUCAAGGUUUAAAUUCGAUACUUCUGGUUGAUUCGACUUUAAGAGAAGUUUGAUCAUUGAAUUGUAUUGAAAUUUGUAUCUCAAGAUGUAAUAAUUAUUAGUAAUUUAAUAUUUUAUGUUAAUUGUUAUAUGUAAAUUUUUGUUGUUACGAAUAAAUUCUCCAUGUGAGAUGGAAAUGCUUGUGAGAACAUGAUUCAACCCUUUAUGUUAAUUUGGUUCAAUAUCUGUUUCAGCAUAUGUUUCUCAGGUUUUAAUGAACAUAUCUUAAAGUUUUUUUUUUAUAUACCUUUUUGAUUAAUUUUUGCAUAUCAUUUUUUUUUAAACUCAAAAUUUAUGCAUGAUCUAGUAUUUGUGAUUGAUUUAGUUUUUGAAAAAUUGAGAAUAAGAAACUGUGAAGAGAUUGUCCUCUUAACCUGUGAUUAUUGUUGAACAACUGGAUUUCAGAUCAGCAUCUGAAAUGGUUUAAUAGUUCAUACUAUUUUUUUUUUAUUAAUUAUUUAUUGUCUCAAGAUAUAAGUUUAAGGGAUUUGGAUUAGUCGCAAUAACUAUGUUACGUAGUAAUGCAUUUUAGUCAUUUAAUUUGAAUCAAUAAUCAAUAUCAAAUAAGUGUAUAUAAUUGACUUUAUCAUAUUAUGAACCAUCUGAUCUCAAAUAAACGGUCUAUAUCAAUUACUGACUUCACAAGUCAAAAUUUUAGACUGACUUCAACUUUUAGUCUAUGAUUUGACUUUAUUUAUUUUCUAAAAUCAACAUUUAAAAGUACACACUAUGUGCACCAAUCACUUGUGUCGAGUUUGUUUAGUAAAUAAACAAUUUGGAUACAAUUUUUUGUUUGACCAUAUAUCUGCAUAAAUGGAGGAAAAAUAUUACGAUUGAGAUAAUUAUCAUUAAUUAUCUCUAGUUUUUCCCAACAAUAAUAAAAACGAUUAAAGUUGACACACAAAUCACAAUUUGUUGUUUUUAUGAUUUUUGGAACAUUAUUCUAUUAUGUUCGACUUCAUUCUAUUACAUACUACCAAUUCAAACAUACCCUGGUUAAAAAAGAGCUCGAUUGGUGAUUGGAAAUGGCAUGGAGGUAAGAAUAUUGCAUGACAAGUGGUAUGGAGAAUGAAAAAGAGAUUGCAUCAUUCUCAUAUCUUUUAGGCUUUUAGAGAAUAUUCAAUUUAAAUGUGUAUUGGAUCGUAAAAACCGAGUAGUUCUGUCAAAGUUGAUAAAUACAAUUAGAAUCACUUGUGAAAAACUAAAUAUGAGCAGGAAGAAUCGUAAUAGAACAAAUUAAAAAAUUUCACCUUUCUUUAGGAUUAAAAAAUGUUAUUAAUUAGAGAUAAAAUAUGUUACAGAGUAAAUGAAUAAGACAUGUGCCAAUUAGUGGAGGUUGGAGGGAACUAUUAUUAGCUAAACAGUUGUAACUGAAUUACUAUAUAGGAAAGUAGUUAGUUAGUUGAUUCGGGCAUUCAUAAUAAAAACUUGUAUUACACUUCUUCUUCUUCUUUUCUCUGUUCUCAAACUUCCAUUGUAACUCAAUUCCAGUUCGAAUUCUUUUCAAUAAAUAAGAAUUCCUACUGUUUGUGAUUGAAUUCUUCGUUUUCAUUGUUGAUUACCUAGAGUUCCAUAACCACCAUAUCAAUUGGUAUUCAGAGCUUUUUUUUUCUCUGGGAGAUGGCGGAAUCUACUCGAACUCAGAAGGAAAGGAAGAUUGGUAGUUGGCAAGGAUGUGCAAUUAAGGCAAGAAUUGUUACAUUGGUUUCAUAAUGCAGCCUCAGGGGGUCACUCAGGCAGAAAUGCUACUACACAAAGGAUUAAGGUUGUUCUUUACUGGAAAGGCCUGAACAAGGAUGUCAAAGCCUUCAUACAGCAUUGCCCAACUUGUCAGAAAUGCAAGUAUGACACUGAUGCCUACCCAAGUUUAUUACAACUUUAACAAUCCCUGAUCAUGCGUGGAAGCACAUCACAAUGGAUUUCAUUGAGGGAUUGCCUAUUUCUUAUGGGAAACAAGUUAUUUUUGUUAUAGUAGACAUAUUGAGUAAGGCUGCUCAUUUCAUAUCCUUAGCUCAUCCAUAUACUGCUAGCAUUGUAGCACAAGCAUUUUUAGAUAAUAUCUUCAAACUCCAUGGUUUUCCAGAAUCUAUCACCAGUGAUAGAGAUCCAGUAUUUGUUAGUCACUUUUGGAAGGAGUUAAUGGCUUACCAAGGAGUUCAAUUACAACUUUCUACAUCAUACCAUCCUCAGACAGAUGGCCAAUCUGAGGUGGUCAAUCGAUGUCUAGAAACAUAUUUGAGGUGCAUGUGUGCAGAGACUCCACAACAAUGGUCCAAGUGGUUGCCAUUAGCUGAAUGGUGGUAUAAUACUACCUUCCACACAUCAAUUCAGGCUACCCCUUAUGAAAUUGUGUAUGGUCAACCUCCUCCUGCCUAUUUACCUUACUUGCCAGGAGAAUCUAAAGUUCAGUUGGUGGAUAGAAGUUUAGUUAAAAAAGAAGAGAUGCUGAAGGUUCUUAAGUUCCAUCUAAGAAGGGCCCAAGACAGGAUGAAACAAAUUGCUGAUAAGCAUAGAAGUGACAGGAAGUUUGCAGUGGGUGAUUUGGUUUAUGUCAAACUUCAAUCCUACAAACAGGUAUCUGUGGCUGCCAGAUCCAAUGAGAAAUUGGCUCCAAAAUACUUUGGACCAUUUCUAGUGAUUGACACAGUAGGAGCAGUGGCUUAUAAACUACUCCUUUCUGCCCAUUCUAAAAUACACAAUGUAUUUCAUGUUUCACAGGUAAAAAAACAUAUUGGCAAUGCUAUCACCUCUACUGAUCUUCCUUCCAACACAAAUGAAGUUCUUGCUGUCAAAGAACCUGAGUUGAUCAUGGAAAGAAUGACUGUCAAACGCAGAGGCCAAACAGUAACUAAAGUGUUGGUCAAAUGGAAGCACCAAUUGCCUGAGGAUGCCACUUGGGAAUUUUAUUUUGAUCUUUGUAAGAAGUUCCCUAAUUUUCAUUCUUGAGGACAAGAAUGUUUUCAACGGGGGGCAAAGUUAUAGAGUAAAUGAAUAAGACACGUGUCAAUUAGUGGAUGCUGGAGGGAACUAUUAUUAGCUAAACAGUUGUAACUGAAUUACUAUAUAGGAAAUUAGUUAGUUAGUUGAUUCAGCAUUCAUAAUAAAAACUUGUAUUACACUUCUUCUUCUUUUCUCUGUUCUCAAACUUCCAUUGUAACUCAAUUCCAGUUUGAAUUCUUUUCAAUAAAUAAGAAUUCCUACUGUUUGUGAUUGAAUUCUUCGUUUUCAUUGUUGAUUACCUAGAGUUCCAUAACCACCGUAUCAAAAUACCAUAAGAAUUGAUUUUUACCCCACCAUUGUUUUCCAAUCUUUCUAUUUUUAUUGAAGUCUUGAGUAGAAUACUCGACAACAUUUAGGCAUGCAAUUAAUCUAAUGUACUCACAUCAUCUCAGGUUCCUUAAAAUUGCACCUUCAUUCAUCUUGAUGCGAAAAACUCCAAAAUUACUCAUCUUGCGAAAAAUCCCAAAUCCCUAAAAUCACUCGAAGCCUUACAUGAUCAAAAAACUUGAACUUCAACUCAAAUCCCUGCGUAUUGCUUUGCACCGCCGCUACAUUUUGUUCUAAGCUUCAUUGGUAUGAAUCUCUUUCUUAUUUUCUUUUUCUUCAUCUCUCGAGUUCACUCUUGUUGAUUCCUUUUUUCUACCCUAUUUUUAUGUUGCAACAGGUAAAUCAUGUUAGUGAACGAGAAGUUUUAAAUCCGCAAGCUUACAUGUUGUUCUAUGCUCGUGAUAGAAAAAGUAUACUAUCAAUUAAUAUGUACAUGCUUGCAUUAACAGGUUUAUGUAUUUCAUUCAUGUUGACCUAAAAAUAUUAGAGUACUAGUUUCGUCACACAUUUUAUUUCAGGAUCUCUGAUUAGAUGAUACUCACAUGUAGGUAAAUCUUUUUAGUGUUCCUGCUCUGGUAGUAUUUAAUUGAUUGGUGUAGAUAUGUAUGCCUUAGCCUAGUCUGUACCAAAUGCAGAAUCCUGCUACAUGCCAAAUCCUUUGAGUUAAAACGAAUCCCUUGAGUUAAAACGAUGAUAUUCAAAUUUCACCAAAUGUAGGGAUUUGGUGUCAUCAUCAAUGUGUGGAUGGAUCAGGUUAUGUUGUUCGUAGUUGUACAACUAACAUUAAAUAGAUAUUGUGCCUUGAAAAUGCUUUGGAAUACCGUCCUUCAUUUCACAUGCUAAAUGCCAUCCUUGAUUAAUAUAUAGCUAGCUACUUCAAUUUUUUUGAAGAAGAUAUAAGCUACUUUAAUUAACUAGCUCAAUUGUUCAUCUUAUGUUUUCAUAUUUGUAUUACUUUUUCUCCUUUUCUGUACUGAGUACUAUAGAAUUACCUUUAUCUCAGCCCUUGGUGUCGAAGAAUGACCAGAUUGCCAGCAUUGGAUAUGUUGGGAAUGAAUGGUGAGCUCAACUAUAUAUAUUGUUGUUCCUUUUCCUUGUUUACCAGGGAAGUAAUUGAAUGCUUGAAUCAUUUUUUGAAGACCAUGGUUUGAAAAAAUUAUCAAAAUAGCAAUGUAUGAAGUUCUGGUAGGGUAGGCUCAAUGUGACUAUUUUGAUGAAUAACUGCAUGUAUAUCUAUUAAUUUGUAUCUUGCCACCUCAAAAUUUACAGGGAUGAGGAAUAUGAUAAGGGGAAAAGGAAGAAGUUAAGGGACUCCAAGCAGAGCUUUGGUGGGUCAAAUAUUUUCCAAGAAAUUGCUACUGAGAAAUCCAAGUUAAAAAGGGCAAAAAGGAACCAUUCUACCUCAGGGAACCCUCCAUUUAGGAUACGACUAAAAAAUUCCCUUCUAUCCUAUGUGGGUUUCUUGUUGCAAUUAUCGGUUUGUCAAACACUGAAAAUGUGGUGAAGCGAGCACAUACCUUUUUCUUUUUUCCAGUAUAAAUUCUAUUGGCUGCAUCAUAUUGUCUUUGGAGCUGAGCUGAGCUCUGUUCGAAAUUCUAUUGGCUGCAUCAUAAUGAUUAUUAAAUGUCCAACUAGCUCUCCACUUUCUUUCCAUAAUUCUAUUCUUAUAUGCCUUUCUUAGUAUAUAUUUUCCAUAUGCUUGUAAAUACAGGUGCUAGAUGGUGUAAUUAAAUAUAGAUGGAAUGCAUUACCAGUUGAGCAGCGGGAUGGAAUGAAAAAUUUCAUCUCUGAUGUUAUUGUACAGGUAUUACUCACUUAGAGGAUGCUGAUACAUGAGCUAUUCUGACUUACAUUUUUGUUUUAUCAGUACUUAUAAUAAUUAUGUAUCCUUCAUUCCAUUAUUUACCUGUUUUGCACAGCUUUCUGGCAACGAAGCCUCAUUUCAAACAGAGCGAUUAGAUGUCAACAAACUCAAUAUUAUAUUGGUUCAGGUGAAAUUGACAUUGCAUUUCCUUUCAAUCAUUUAAGUUGAUUUAUUCAUGUUAUUCUCAACCAAUUAUGCAGUCCAUUUGCUUUAUUUAUCUUGAUGAAAAACUAUACAAUUUCUUCAGUUAAACUUUAUUUCUGAUUUUUAUAUGGAGAUUUGCCUUUUCGUUUUCCUUUCUCUCUAAAAAUCUGGAUUUGCAACAUGCUUCGGUAACUACCUAAAAAUGUGUUAGUUAUAACAUUUAUAUUAUGAUCAGUAUAUAUUGUAGUAUAUAUUGUAUAUGCAGAUUUUGAAGCAUGAGUGGCCAGCGAGAUGGCGAAACUUUAUUGCUGACCUUGUUUCAGCAACUAAAACCAGUGAAACAAUUUGUGAGAACUGUAUGGUGAUAUUGAAGGUAAGUUUAGGUUUAUCUUUAUAGUAUAGUACAAAUCUGACAUUAAGAAAAUGCAGGAUAUGAAGACACUUGUGAUAUUAAGGACCAAACGACACACAUAACAUUUGAUAUAAAUUUAGAUUAGACAUUAGAAUUCAUUGGGUAUACAUUACAAAUGUAACUUUUUUACACAUUCAUCCAAUUACAUUUAACUAUAUAACUAACUGUAAAAAUAUUUUAUAAACUGAAUCAUGAGAUGUGAUUAAUGCAUGUAAUUUUCUUUUAAUAGAUAUAAUAUCAAUUAAAAAUCCUAUAAUAAGUUAUUCGUAUUAAGGCUUAAUGAACCAAACUUUAAAUGGAUAUGCUGUAUGGGCCUUUCUUAAGUUGUUUUUUAUGCAUUAUCAAUUAUAUCAUGCUUCUGGUUAUAUUUAACUAUAUUGAUUUGAUUUGUUAUUUUUGUCUAUUUUUCAAUUGUUGACUGUGGCGUCGGCCUGACCGACGCGAUAUUCUUGAUAAAGUUUUACUUAAUUGUCUACUGACAUUAGCGACGGUCCUUCCGACGCCAUAUAAUUUUUUCAAGUAACGUGCCGACGGUUAUAAACUAGCCUUGGAUGUUCCAUUUUUGCUGGUAGCGUCGGAGUAGAGUAGAUUAUGCCGACGCUACAUUAGCGUCAUAUGGUAUUUGACCGACGCUAUGUAUUAGGUUUGACCGUUUUAGCCUAGGCCAACACCGACGCUAAUUGGAGGCUAAAUUAAUAUUAGCGUCAGCUUAGUCUAUUAGCGUGGACUUAUGGCCGACGCUAGUAUCAGUUUUUCUUGUAGUGUUUUGUUUCCACUUACAACUCAACAGAUUAUCUAAACUCCAUUGAUGUAAUUAACGUGAAUUUAAGGAAGGAAAAAUUCCCAAAUCAAGAGGAAAUAAAGAAAGAGGUGAAAAAGAAGUACAACUUGUUUGAUUGUGUUUUACUUUUUAUUUUUUGAAAACUAUUUUAUAGAUAAAUAAAUUUGAGACGAGAAUGAGUUUAGGGUGUUCACAUCAACCUGCAAGUGCACCUGAAUACAUGUACAUAUUGAAUAUACUUAAUAUUUUUUUAAAUAUUAAAAAUUAUAAUUUUAUCUCUGUAAAAAAUAUUUUAUUUAAUUUUAUUAUUGUUUAAUUAUUAUUAUUUUAUUUUUUUCAUUAUAAUAGAUAUAAUUUAUAUAUAUAUAUAUAUAAUAAAUCGGGAUAGGGAGACAAAAUCCACUUUUAUCUCGUCUCGUUACUAUGCCUAGACAUCACAUCUCUACACUUGAUUGAGUUUAAGUGUGAAUGAUUAAAUCUCAUAUUGAUUUAGAAUAAAUUAAAUGUUGGAUAUGAUCUUAUAAUUAAUAUUCUCUUAGAAAUCUUAGUUUCGAAGUCUUAGUGGUUGAAGUGAAGAGUUACAAACUUAAGGGAUAAUUAGAGGCAAAGUGUGCUUCCAGUGGGUCGAGCCUCCGCUGAUUUCUUAGACACUUUAUAACCUCUUCCUCGAUCGCAUUAUUACAAAGUUUACAAACUGCAUGCAUAAUAGUAACUUAUUAUUUUUUUGGUUUUUGUUUUUACCCUUAGACUUUAUAGCAACCUCAUACACUAUACACAUAUAUAAAUGUUCAGAUGCUUCAGCAUACACCUUAUGUACUAAACAUUUUGAAAGUACAAAAAUUAAAGGAUAGUAACAAAAGACUAUGUAGAUAUACUUUCUUUGGAAAAUAAACUAUAUUUUUUAUAAUGAAAGAUACAAUAUUAUUAUGAUUGCCAUAUAUAAGAUCGUUCAUUGAUUCCUUAAAAUGUAAUUUUCAUAGGUCUACUUCAAAUGCAUUCUGAACAAACCUUAAAAACUAAUUUUUUAUAACUCUUACUGUUAUUGAAGUAACAUUUGAUGGAAAAACUUCAUAGAUACACUCUUUUGCCAUAUAUAAGAUCGUUCAUUGAUUCCUUAAAAUGUAAUUUUCAUAGGUCUACUUCAAAUGCAUUCUGAACAAACCUUAAAAACUAAUUUUUUAUAACUCUUACUGUUAUUGAAGUAACAUUUGAUAGAAAAACUUCUUAUACAAUCUUUCUUGCCCAGUUUAUCAAAGAUAUUUUCAUAGGAAUAUCUUAUAUAUGUAUUUGUAGAAACUUGGUAAGAAGACAAAACCAUCAGAACAUAAAUCUCUUAGGUAAUGUUUAUGAUCUAUAUUUCAAUUUAACUUGAAAAGGUAAAUUAAAUAAUACAUUUUUUAAUAUUGCAUGUUUCAGGACUUCAGGUGGGUAGUAAUUGUGCAAUGUUCUACAUUAUGAACAAGACAAAAAAUUCAAGUAAUUAAUUACAAAUAUUAAGGCUCUUGCAAUGUUUAUCAACAUUAUGAUCAAGACAAAAAAUUUAAUGUAAUUAAUUACAAAUAUUAAGGUCAGUGUAAAUUGAAUUAAGCAAAAUGAUCUAGUGGUUCUGCAGAACCAUUUUUUUUAGAGUAAAUAAGGUUUCCGUUCUAUAAAUAUAUUAUAUUUCUUUUUUAAAUUUGGCUAAAACAUUUCCUUAAAUAAUUGUUCCUCAAAUAUCUUUAUGAAUAAUUUUGGUAUGUGAUUUUAAGUUAAAUGACACUUAUCAAUCGGAUUUUUUUAGGAAUAUUUAGAACAUUAUAAGAAUCUUUUUAUAAUAUUUUGAAUUUUUUAAUAAAGAUAAACUAAAUGUGAAUUUUUAAGCGCAAAAAGCUUAAAAAAAUCAUACUUAACUCAUCAUUUAUUAAAAAUAUUUAAAUUUUUAUAAGAAAGAUUCUUAUAAUGUUCUAAACAUGCAUACAAAAAUAAUUUAAAAAUUCAAACAGUACAUAUGAAUUAUUUAAAAGUCGGGAUAAAAAUAUUUGAUGGACCAUUAUUUGAAUUUUUUUUAAAUAAACUAAAAAUAAAAUAUGAUAUAUUUAAAAAAACAAAAAAUUUAUUUAAUUCUUUAUAUAUAUAUAUAGCAGAAACAUAUUAAUUUUUUUUUAGGAAAAUAAACAUAUUACUUUAUCCUGUUUACAUGAUUUAAUGUAUUUAACUUCUUUGACAUUUGACUAAAAAAAAAAAAAACUUUCCUUGGCAUUUCACCUUGGUCAUAUUAUAAGAAACAUUACUAGAUUUCAACCACACCAACAUGUUUAUUGAAAAUUUAUUUAAUCUCCAACAUUCUUAAUUCACUAAAUUACAACCAAUAAAUAGAAUACAUCUUUCAAAGGGUGCUCUAGCUCAACAGAUUCUCUAGAUGCUUGCAUUAUUAUACUUAUAAUGUUAAAAAUUUGUAAGAUAGAUAAUAAGCCAAUAUUUGCAAUUUUCAUUUAUUCAUUCAAUAAAAUAAAAAAGUAUCUCUCUAACACAAAUUGCCUAAAACAUAUUCAAACAAUUAUGCUUCCUAAAAUUUCGAACUUAUCAUAUUGUGAGUGGUUUGUUCUGAGUAUGAUGAAAUUCCUAAACUCAAUUUAUUUAAACUUUUUAAACAAAAAAAAUUCAAACUUCAAAUAGAUUCAAGUCCAUGAACAAAAAGGGAAGAAAAAGCUUCCAUCUCUUCCUUAUUCAAAGCCAAACCAAUCUCAAUUCCACCAUUACCAUUCCUAUUUUCAGAAAGAGAAAAAGCUCUUGUUUUAUCAAUUGAAGUCAUAUCAACUUUCUUAGGCUUUCCAAAUCCAAAAUCAAUACCAUAAACUUCAAACCUUGGUGAUCCAGCAAUAGAAUAAAUUUUAGUACUUUCACUUCCUUCAAACAUAUAAGAAAGCCAUUUUUUUGCUCCAUUCAAAACUUCACCAUCUUUAACUCUAUUCAAACUUUCAUUAAUCUCUUCCN